GACGCGCCGUUUGGCCGGGACGGCGUCGUUUCGUUUGAGGACGAUCCCGGCGAAGACGAUGAAGACGGGCUUGUUGCUGCCGGUGUUGAUUCUGAAGGAGGAGACGACAAUGGUGGCGACGGUGUAGUAGCCGGAGCGAAGGGGGAAGGUGGGUAUGAUGGAGGGAUGGUGGAUGGAUAGGGUGAUAGGGAAGGUGGGGAAGGUGGGGAUGAAGAUGAUGGAGGUUGGGUGACAGGGGAAUUGGAAUUUGGAGUUGGGGCAUAGGGGUAGGGUGAUUGAGAUGUUGGGGAAGGAGUGUUUGGAGGUGACGGAAUGUAGGGAGGUUGGGAAAUGGGAGAAGGAGUGGUGGAUGGUGGUGUGGAAAUGUAAGAAGGUGGCUGGGAUAUUGGGGAAGGAGUGGUGGAUGGUGGUGUGGAAAUGUAAGGUGGCUGGGAUAUUGGGGAAGGAGUGGUGUUUGGAGGUGAUGGGAUGUAAGGAGGCUGAGAUAUUGGGGAAGGAGUGUUUGGAGGUGAUGGGGUGUAAGGAGGCUGGGAAGUAGGAGAAGGAGUAUUGGGUUGUGGAGGCACAUAAGGUGACUGAGAAAAGGGUGAUGGGGUUAUUGGAACAAAGGGUGGUUGAUGAUGAGGGGAAGGGGUGUUUGGAGGUAGAGGAGCAUGGGGUGGAUGGUUAUUAGGGGAAGGAGCAUAAGUGGGAGAAGGUGUGUUGGGAGGUAUGGGAGCAUAGGGUGGUUGAGCUUUGGGAGGAAAGGGAAGAUUAGUAGGAGGUGAAGGUGCUUCUGGAGGAGUAUAAACAGGGGGAGGAGUUUGAUGAGGUGGAUAAGGAGCUUUUGGAGGAGAAUAUGGAGGAGGCUCUCUCACAGCCAACACCACAAUAAUAAGUUUCUGACCCUUCUCACAAUUAUAAUCUUUUCCACUGAUGAAAUAAAAGGGACCCGAACGAUCAAACUGAAACUGGGAGGCACCAUCCUCAAACUUCUUGAUCGGGUUCUUCUUGUUACAUUUCUCAUAAUCCUCUUUGUUCACCACCAAAACCGAGUCCGAUCCCUUCUUGUACUUAAAAACUAUGAACAGGAAAAAACAUACAAGUUAAAAGCAUUCAUUCAGAAGGCAGAAAAAAAACUGGAAAGCUUUAGAAUGAAAAUGAACUGACCAAGAGUGUCACUGACUUGGAACCUCAUCCUUUCAGCCCAGUGAUUGUAAUUCUCAGAAGGGUACAAAAGCCACCCAUCUUUUCCACCAACGUUGAAGGUGUAUGCCUGAGACCCCGAGAGGAGACUGAAAAGAAACGACAAGAGACAAAAAACACUAAUCCGAAGCUCCAUGUUGCAGAGAGAGAGAGGAGAGAGAGAAGGAAGAGAGGUGUAGAAAGAAGUGAUGAAAUGGAUUGAUAUAAAGAAAGUGUUGUCCUUGGUUACCGUUGUUGGGGUGCUUGUAGUGUAGGACCAGCGAAGCGUGUUAAACGCGGUGGGGGGGUUUACGUGGGAAGACUAAGACUUACAUGUGGGCAAAUGAUAGAGAAAGAGAAAUUAAAGUUUGAGAAAGUUUGUUUAAUAUAAUAAUAUAUAAUAUGCAGCUACGUGCCACACUUCCCAGCACUGCCAUCUAUCACCAUUCGGACUCAUUUUAUUUUGAAAUUUCCAACCUCACCGAUGCUAUAUGCUUUCUACACAUUAAAAUGUUUCAAAAACAAUAAUAAUAGAAAGAAAACCAAAUCACGGAACUCUAUUGUUUCUGGUAUAUCCAUAUGCUACACUAUUCCGAUUCUCAUUUCAGACCCAUUAAUAAUUCUGCUAUUCCAUGCUUAGAUUGUUCCAAAUCAUAUACUGUAUCAAACAGAGACAGGGACAAAUUUUAAUAGGUUCUUGCUGAUUAACAAAUAUUAAAUUGUUCUCUAUCUUUUGUUCACAUAUAACCUGUGAAGAAUAAAUAGACGGAUUUUAAUUUUUUUCAUAAAGAUUAAAUAUGAAAAUGGUGUGUGUCUGCUUUGAGAGAGAUUAGCAACUAUUGGAAGAGCAUUUGGAUCGUCAAUCUACAGUUAUGCCUUUGGUCCACAAUGACUAUAAUAAAAUUUGAUUUAUUUAAGAAAGAGUAAACGAUAAUUAAGUUUCCAAAGAAAUUAAAUAUUAUUUUAAUUUCACUGUAUUUUAUUAUUAAGUUUUACAAAAUUAUUUUAUUAAUAAAAAAUAUCUUAAAGACCAAUUCCACAUGAACUUAGAUAUUAUUUUAUCAUAAAACUACAGUUUUCUGGAUCAAUUUGAAAAAGUAAUAAAAAUUUAUACUUUUUCAAUAAUUUUAGGUAUAAGUAUCUUGUCAUAUCAGUUAGAAAUGUUAGAAAUGGUCAUGAAAAAAAUAUUAUUAAAAAAAUAUAAAAUAUUAAGUUGAACGUUUAAAUAUGUUUUUUUUAUGUAUUUUUACUUAAAAAUAGCUUCUUUUUAGUUUAAAUUUUUAGAAUUUUUAGUUAUUUGUAAUAAGGGGACUAGAAUAAGUUUUUAUUAAUAUUUUUUUAUAUAAUAAUAAGUUAGUAUGAAAAUAUUUUAUCAUUCUGAUACAUAUUAAAAAUCUAUUCUGAUACGUAUUAAAAACCGGUUUAUCAUGUAGAAAAAAAUAUGAUAAAAGAUUAAUUUCAAUAGUUUCUUUAUUAUAAUAGUCUAAAAUUUAGAAUAGAAAAUAAAAAUUUCUGUGAAAUAAAAGUACAUUUAAUCCUUAAAUUUAUAAAGUUUUUAAUUAAUAAAAUAUAAUUUUAAAAUUAGUUUUUAUUAUUUAAAAUUAAAGGCAAAAUUAGUCAUUUACUAGUUAAGAAAUAAACCUCUAGUCGUCAUCCUUUGUUUUUUUUUUAGUCAAAACGUAUGCUUUGUUUUGCUUUUUCAUAGACUGUUUGGUACGUGAAAUUGACUACCCAGUUAGGAGUUAAUCAUCACAUCCACUUUACAUCAUGUUUUGCUUUUAUUAACAUUUUUAUUAAGUGAUUAGGUUUUUUCAUUAGAUUAGAUGACAAGUGUAAAGUAUUUAAAAUUUGUAUGAAUAACUAAUUUCUAUCAUUUACCCACUUUUAGAAUUUUAGUAGAAUAUACAAGUAUUACUUAAUAAAAAUAUUUUAUAUUAAAAAAAAUCUAUAGUUUUAAAAAUUGGAUUCCUUUUAUAAGAAAACAUUAAAGCCAAACACACCUUAAUUAUUACAUUUUGUGGAUGAAUGUUGACCUAUUUAAAAUUUGUAUGAAUAACUAAUUUCUAUCAUUUACCCACUUUUAGAAUUUUAGUAGAAUAUACGAGUAUUACUUAAUAAAAUUAUUUUAUAUUAAAAAAAAUUCUACAGUUUUAAAAAUUGGAUUCCUUUUAUAAGAAAACAUUAAAGCCAAACACACCUAAUUAUUUCAUUUUGUGGAUGAAUGUUGACCUAUUUAAAAUUUGUAUUAAUAACUAAUUUCUAUCAUAUACCCACUUUUAGAAUUUUAGUAGAAUAUACGAGUAUUACUUACUUAAACUAUUUUAUAUUAAAAAAAAGUCUAUAGUUUUAAAAAUUGAAUUUCUUUUAUAAGAAAACAUUAAAGCCAAACACACCUUAAUUAUUACAUUGUGUGGAUAAAUGUUGACCUAUUUAAAAUUUGUAUUAAUAACUAAUUUCUAUCAUAUACCCACUUUUAGAAUUUUAGCAGAAUAUGCGAGUAUUACUUAAUUAAAUUAUUUUAUAUUAAAAAAUAGUUAUAGUUUUAAAAAUUGGAUUCCUUUUAUAAGAAAAUAUUAAAGCCAAACUCACCUUAAUUAUUACAUUUUGUGGAUGAUUGUUGACCUAGAGAAAGCCAUUAGAAUCCCAUCUAAUCUUGUACUUGGAAUUUAUUGGUGAAGAGUAGAAAUUUCCGAUAUCUGAAUAACAUUAUUGUUUGGUACAAUAACGUUACCAUAUUUUAAAUUAGUAUAUAUGAUGGGACAUGAACACUUAUUUCCUCUAAAAUCUUUAUUUUAAAAAAUCUCCAAGUAAAUUACUAAAAUGACAUCAUUUUUCAUUGAAACUCAAAUAUGCCUUUCAAAUAUCAUUCACAUUUUGUUCCUAUCUUAAAUAAUCUUUUCCAUUUAUACAAUGUGUGAUAUCACUCACUUAUCUUAUUUAAUUAACAUCUAGGUACUUAAUAGUAUACUACUAAUUAAAACGCGUCACUUUACCGUUAGUAUUUAAUAUUAGGUUAUAGGCAUGCUAAGAAUGAUUAUAAGUGUAUUAUUAAUAUUAACUCUCCCUCCCUAAUAUGGCUGUAUCAUUUCUUCCUCUCAUUGAUUGUUUAUUCAAUAUCAAUCUUGUACUCUCUUUUCUUAUAUUUUUUAGUAAAAAUAAACAUAAAACAUUUAUUUUAAUUGUCACAAAUUUGUGUAUUUUAAAAUGAGUUAUAUAGUAAUGCAUUCACAUUAUACAAUAAUUUUAUUUUAUCAUAUAAUAUUAAAUAAAUAAUAACUCUUAAUAAUUUCUAAAAUAGAUAUUGAUAAUUUCAUUUUAUCAUAAAAUGGUUGUUUAUAGUGAUUUACUAUUCACAGACAACCGAGAAUAUGGGGUAAAAUGGGAGAAUGAAGGGAAGGUCAAGAAAAAUUAGUUAAUGUGAUUUUUUCAAUUUUACCAUUUUUUUAUAUAUUAAUUAUUACAUAAAUUUAAUUAACAUUAAUAUUUUAAUAAAAUAAUAAUAAUUAAUAAAAUUUGAUGGAGGUGUGCCUUCAUCCGUAGCUUUUCUUUGGUGGAAUUGGCGGAAACAUUCAUGGAAGAAGACGAGCAAGGAACUCAUGAAGAGUGGUGGACUCCUUGAAGGUGCAUGCUAGGUGUGGAGAGUGAGUGGUGAGGCCAUCUCACUUGGCAAAGAUGAAGAAUGAAGAUUAAAAUGUCUAUCCUAGAGAGGUAGGAGACAAGAAGCAAAAUUGGCACAAUUUUGGCAGCAAUUUGCUCGAGAAUAAUCUUGCUAUUUCAUGACCCAAACACCUCCUUAUAUAGGAUUGGAGGGUCAGAAUUGGAAGAGUCAAAUACAAAUGAAAUACAAACUAAAUAAAAUGUGAUGCAUUUGGCGCCUAAUUUGAGACUUAGCACAUGGAGCAUGUGAUGGAAAGCUUUUAAGCACAUGGAACAUGUGCUUUCUUCUCCAAGGCUUAGUCAUAACCGACCUUGGUUAAUUUAGGUGUUCAAAGAACCCUAAUUUAACCAAGGUUGGUUUUUAGGUACCAAAUUUCACCUAAAAAGAAAUUACAAGUAAAAUUUCCUAUUUUACUUUAACAAAAUUAAAUCCUACUUCUUACACUAGAGUUUAUGGCAUUUUAAACACGUACAAGAAGGUUUCUCUGCCAUCAGUAGCAGUAUUUCAAUCAUUUUGAUCCUUCUUGGCCAUGACUCUAGUGGUAGGCCCAAAUCUUCUCUUUGUUGGGCUUGCACUUGGACUUGUCCUUGGGCCUCUUCCAUCAUCCCCUCCCUCUUGAAAAGGAUUUGUCCUCAAAUCCAAUGCUUCUAUUUCUUCUUCUUCAUUACUUCCUACAAAAGGCAUUAAGUCCACAACAUUAAAAGUAUGAUGAACUCCAUAUUCUUUUGGUAAAUCAAGAAUAUAUGCAUUGUUGUUGAUUCUUUUGAGGACUUGGAAGGGUUCGUCACCUUGGGGACUAAGUUUGGACUUCCUCUUAGUUGGAAAUCUAUCUUUCCUAAGAUGAAACCAAAUUAAAUCUCCUUCUUCAAAAAUUAUCUCUCUCUUCCCCUUAUUGUUAUGUUUUGUAUAUUUCUCAGUUUGCUGAUGUAUUUGUUCUUUAACCCUCUCAUGCAUUUUCUUAACAAAUUCAGCUUUUAUUACUCAUUCCUUAUGCACAAAUUCUUGUGGAUUAGGAAGGGGCAACAAAUCUAAAGGAGUAAGAGGAUUAAAUCCAUAAACAACCUCAAAUGGAGAAAUAUUAGUAGUUUUAUUAACUACUCUAUUGUAUGCAAACUCAAUAUGAGAAAGAUACUCAUCCCAAGAUUUAUGGUUGCCUUUCAUGACUGCCCUAAGCAUAGUACCAAGAGAUCGAUUUACAACUUCGGUUUGUCCAUCCGUUUGAGGAUGACAAGAAGUUGAAAAUUCAAUUUGGUUUCAAGUCUUGCCCAAAGGGUUCUCCAAAAAUGGCUUAUAAAUUUUGGAUAUCUAUCGGAGACUAUGCUUCUAGGUAGUCCAUGAAGUCUUACCACAUCUCUAAAGAAAAGUCUAGAGAUAUUAUUUGCAUCAUCCACUUUGUGACAUGGUAUAAAAUGUGCCAUUUUACUAAAACGAUCCACAACCACAAAAAUGGAAUCAGAACCUCUUGCAGUCUUAGGAAGUCCAAGAAUAAAAUCCAUACUAAUGUCUUCCCAUGGAGCACUUGCAAAAGGUAAAGGAGUAUAGAGUCCAUGAGGAAUUGUUUUAGACUUAUCUUUUAAACAUGAUAUACAUCUAAAACAAUGUCUUUGGACGUCUCUUAUCAUAUGUGGCCAAAAGAAUUUUCCUUUUAAAAGCUCUAGAGUCUUAUCAACUCCAAAAUGGCCCAUGAGACCUCCUUCAUGAGAUUCUUUUACAAGAAGUUUUCUAUGUGUUCCUUGAGGUAUACAAAGUUUUCCUUCUUUAAAAAGAUACCCCUCAGACACAAAAUCCUCCUUUUUCUCUAUGUUCUCAUUUAACAAAGAUGGAUGUAAAAUCAUGAUCUUCUUUGUAGAGUUCAAUUAUGUUUUCAAAUCCAAGAAUUUGGGCUCCAAGUUUUGAAAACAGGGCAUGUCUCCUUGAGAGAGCAUCGACCAUAAUGUUUGUACUACCCUUCUUGUAUUUGAUAACAUAAGGAAAUUGUUCAAGAAGUUUCAUCCAUUUUGCAUGUCGUUUGUUCAACUUAUGUUGACCUUUCAAAUAUUUUAAAGGCUCAUGAUCACUAUGAAUGACAAAUUCUUUAGAGACUAGAUAGUGCUCCCAAGUCUUUAAGGUCCUCACAAGUGCAUAAAGCUCUUUAUCAUAGGUGGGGUAGUUGAGAGUGGCUCCAUGAAUUUUUUCGCUAAAGUAAGCAAUUGGAUGUCCACCUUGCAACAACACGACACCUAUGCCUACUCCCGAUGCAUCACACUCUAGCUCAAAAGUUUUUGCAAAAUUUGGUAAAGAUAGAAUGGGUGCAUUAGUGAGUUGAGCUUUUAGCCUCUUGAAGGCUUGAUCUUGCUUCUCGGUCGAACAAAAUGGAGUGUCUUUCUUCACUAACUCAUUGAGUGGCUGAUGUAACCCAAAAAUACAUAAAGAUGACCAAGGAUGUUAUACUUGAAGGGUCAUCUAAAUAAGGAAAUAAGAACUUCAUCAAUAGAAGAAAUGGACGAGGCCCAAAGCAUUUAAAGUUCUUCUUAUUGUCUUCUCAAAAGAUGAGGCCCAAGCCCAAUUAAUAUCUUUUGUAAUAUUUUUAGAAUAGUUUCAAGAUAGAACAUUAAAAGGGAAGUAAUAGGAAAAGUCACUUUUCUAGAAUGAGGAAGUGACUUGAAAAAGGGUGGCAUUUACCUUGUCUUUUCAUAUGCCUUGCCUUUUCAUUUACAAGUGACUCUUCAUGUAUUUUUACCUUUUCAUGACCGGUUCUCUAUGCCUAUAUAAAGAGGAGCCUUGCUUUUGUAAACACAAGUUGAAUCUUUUAGUAAAGAAAGUAUACCAAAUUGGUGUGAGAGAGUUUGUGAGACUAGUUCUCCUCUCUUCUUCCUAGUCUUAUCUUGGGAGAUUCUUGGAACUCUCAAGUGGCGGCAUCCACUCAUCUUGAAGCUUCUCCACCCUUCAAGUGGCGUGAACAUUCCAAGGGUCAUCAACCACAUAAGUUUCUUCUACCUUUUCAUGUUCUUCUUCCAUUUCCAUGUCAAUCAAAACUAUAAAACAUGUGUCUUUGUUGUUCUUGAUGUUUCAAGCAGUAGAAAUGUGUUAGGUUCUGCUUUUAAUUGGUUCAUUGUAAUUUCUCGCUGUUGUAUUCGGUUUAUAUGUGCUUAAUUGAUAUUUCAAUCGGUGCAUUUGUCUCCUUUUCACAAAUCAAUCGGUUCAUGUUCUUCUUAUGGGUUUCUAUGCGGUUUUGGCUUGGUUUUUGUGUUCUUGAAUGAUUAUAGAAUCUUGAUCCAAUUCUUGAAAAUGUCUUUUCAUAUACCAACUCAUAUCAGUGGUGAAGCUAGACUUGAGAAGUUAGGCACAAAUCUUCUAUAAAAGCUUGCUAAUCCAUGAAAACUUCUAACUUCCCCUACAUUUUGUGGAAUUGGCCAUUCUUGGAUGGCUUUGAUUUUUUCGGGGUCAACAUGUACCCCAUUUUUGUUAACUAUAAAUCCUAAAAAUACUACACUAUCAACACAAAAAGUACAUUUAUCUCUAUUAGCAAACAAACUAUUAUUCUUAAGCACUAGGAGAACUUCCCUAAAGCGACUUAGGUGAGAUUCUAAACUUUUGCUAUAUACUAAAAUAUCAUCAAACUAAACUACUACAUAUUUACCUACACAAUCCCUUAAGACAUGAUUCAUUAGCCUCAUGAGAGUGCUAGGAGCAUUAGUGAGCUCAAAAGGCAUCACUAACCAUUCAUAUAGUCCAAAUUUGGUUUUAAAAGCGAUUUCCCACUCAUCACCUUCUUUAAUUCUAAUUUGGUGAUAUCCACUUCUAAGAUCAAUUUUAGAAAAUAUGAUGGACCCAUGCAAUUCAUCAAGCAUGUCAUCUAGUCUUGGAAUUGGAUGCCUAUACUUGAUGGUGAUGUUAUUGAUGGCUCUACAAUCACAACACAUUCUCCACUUGCCAUCUUUUUUGGGCACCAACAAGACAGGUACAACACAAGGGCUUAGGAUCUUUUGAACCCAACCCUUAUCCAACAAAUCAUGCACUUGUGAUUCUGUCUCCUUAGUUUCUUCAGAAUUAGUUCUAUAGGCUGGUCUAUUUGGUAGACUAGCUCCUGGAACUAAAUUUAUUUGAUGUUCAAUUCCUCUAAAAGGGGGAAGUCCACUAGAGCCUUCCUUAGAGAAUAUGUCAUCAAAGUCUUUUAAAAGAUCUUUUACUUGAGGAGGUAGAACACAUGUCUCAGUAAGCGUAGCAAUGCAGGUAAGUGUUCCUUUACAAAGUAGGAGGUUUGAAGGUUCUUCAAAAAGAAGUAUUUUUUCGAUCUUAUUUUCAAAUUUUUCUUCUUCUUUCUGAAUGACCUUGUGGGAAGGAACACUCUUUUCCCAUGCCUCUUUUUCCCUAAGGGUUUUUUCUUGGUUUUUUACUCUAUUUUUCUCUUCCUCUCUUUGUUUUCUCAUUUGUAGUUGGUCCUUUAUCACUUGGGAAAAUGAUAAGGGAUAAAGUACAAACUUCUUUUCUUUGUGAGUGAAAGUAAUCUCAUUGGUAAGACCAUUGUGGUUUUCUUAUCAAAUUGCCAAGGUCUUCCCAACAAAAUAUGACAAGCUUUCAUGGGCACUACAUCACACAAAACUUUAUCCUUAUAGUUCCCCACAGAAAACUCGACUUUCACUUGUUGAUCUACAGUUAAAUCCCCAUCUUCAUUGAUCCAUUGAAGUUUGUAAGGUUUUGGAUGAGGGAUUAACUGUAGAUUCAACUUUUCAACCAUCCUAGCGCUACAACAAUUGCAGCAAGAACCACUAUCCACAAUGAGAGAGCACACAUUUUCAAAAACUUUACACCUUGUGUGAAAUAUGUUCUCCCUUUGUGUCUCUUGGCUCAUACUAGGUUGAUUGUUGAGGGUUCUACGGAUCAUCAUUAAUUCACCCUCACAUGGAUAAGCCCCUUCAUUAUCUUUUUUUUCUUCUUCCCCACUAGCUUCAUUACUUUAGCUGCUAUAUACUGUUGGGUCUAUUAGUGUCUAAGUUCAAGAGGGGAGGGGUGAAUUGAGAUUAUAAAAUUUUCGCAAGACCACACAAUUUUUCAGUAUUCCAGAGGCAAAAAGAACAGAUUGUUUUUACAUGAAACAGAUUGAUUCUUCAGAGCAGUCUUGGCACAAUUUGAAUUUGUUCAAUGUAAAAUUGUGAUCAACAGAGAAUUAUAACAAAAUCAGAUCAGUUUAAUAUUGUGAGGAUGAAGGAUACAGUUAUGCUUAGAAAUCAAGCAAAAUUACUCAACACAAGGUUUUGAGAGGAAUGAUCCUUUCUCAGGUUUUAAUGAAUGGACAGUUUGUUCACAAAUCACUUAAACCAUUAUAUACAGCAGCCUUGUUUAUGAUCAGAGAACUUUAACAAAUCAGGAAGAACAAUUUUCACUUAAACCCAGAAUUAACAGAUUCAAUUUCAAAAGAACAGAUUUAGUUCUUGACAGAAUUAAACAAAAAAAAAAACAGAAAUGAGUGCAGGGACGAGAAGACAAGGCACACAAGUUUUUAUACUGGUUCACUCAUACAGAGCUACAUCCAGUCUCACCUUACCCCAAGGUGGAAUUCACUAAAAAUAGUACCAAUCACUUACAAACACAGCAGUUCUUGAACACUACAAGAACAACACACACAAUGCUGAAAAACCCUAUUUCAGCACACCUUGCACUCCAAGAAACCCUAUCAAGGAGUGACUAACACUUACACCUUUACAAAACAGAAUAAAGGAAAGAUUACACCUGAAAAGAAGAUGCAAGAACCCAAAACCAGUAGUUCAAUUUGCUGCAGAACUGCACCAACACCUUCACCAAGAUCAAAGGUUUCCUAGAACAAGCACACUUGAAAAUCUCUUUGGAAAACCUUUCAAAAAUCUUUCAAUCCUUCUUCUCACAUGGAAAGUGUUUGAUCUCUGUCAAAAACGUAAUUGCUCAGCCCUACUUUCAUGUGAGAGAGACUUUUCUUUAUAUAGAAAACAGUUUCUAACUUCUUUUCAAAAAAAUAGUUGAAAAGCAGUUAUGAAAACAACAGAUUCAUUUUUGAACUUAACAGAUUUAUUUUGUGAAAACCGCCAACUCAACUAACUGAAAUAACUGUCUGAGUUGUAUCUUUGGUGCCCUAACUAACUUGUGAAAAACCUUUCAACUCACCAAAGAAUAAACCUGUUCUUUCUCAGUGAAACAGAUUAAAAUAUAGCAAACAGGCCAGCUCAACUUUAACUGAAAUAACUGUCUAAGCUUUACCUGUGGUGCCCUAACAGAAUUUUAGAAAAGCCUUUUAACAGAGAAGAAAUAAACAGAUUCUUUCUCCAUAAAACAGAUUUAUUUGUGUACUGUUUUAAAGCUGUUAAAAACAUUUUAAAAAGCUUUUCAAAAACCAUUUAACCACAUCAUGUGCUUGAUCUAGACUUGGUUAGGCAUCUAGGAUGGGUUAUUCAGCAAAAGGCAACCUUACACAAUUACAAGCCUAAUUAUAACCGAAUCUAAAACCUAUUACAAUCUUCAAAGCACUCAAGUUAUUUUCUUCAUCAAACACACAUCAAGCCUUGGUAGGGAAGAAGCUUCCUCCAACUUCAACAUAUACAUCCUUACCCCUUUAAGAAUAUAGUUCUCCUAUUUUGGCAUUGGGAAGCUAUAUGACCUCUUCCAAAGCAUUUAAAACAUUUUUUUAUCUCGGCUACGGGAUUGUGGGGUUAUCACUUCUUUAUCUAUAUUUUUGGGAGUUUCCUUAGAUCUUUCCUUUGAAGUUUCCUCCCUUUUAUACUCUCUCUUGGGAUAGGAGUUAGAAUAUGAACCUUCCCUACGACUUGAAGCUUUUCUUAAGUUUUGUUGUUCAACUUUGAUACAGAGUUGAAUUAAAUCAUUCAAGUGUCUAUAUGGUAAAAGUUAAACUCUAUCUCUAAUCUCAAGAUUGAGUCCACUCAAAAACCUUGCUAUGGUAGUGGUUUUAGACUCCCUAAUUGAGGCUCUCAUCAUGUAUAAUUCCAUUGUUUUGCCUAUAUUCCUCUACACUCAUAGUCUUUUGUUGGAGUCUUUGGAGUUUGUCCAUUAACUCCCUAUUAUAAUAGGAGGGAAUAUGGCGGCGUCUUAAGGCUCGUUUUAGUUAGUGAUCUCGGCUCAGCUAGUCCUUUCUUUCGUGAUGAACUGUUGGCUCCCCUAAGAUCAUUCUAAUACUCUAUGGGAGGGUUCUUAUGAAGGUGCCUAUCUUGCUCAAGGGCAGUCCACCAAUACAUAGCAUUACCUUGAAAGCUUAGGGUGGCUAGGGGUACUUUUCGUUCCUCACUCACUCUAUGGGAAACAAACAAUUAUUCUACCUUCAUUUCCCAAUUUAAGUAAGUUUCUACGUUUUCCAUGGAAAUAAGGUAGAUCUACCCUAACCUCCUUUUCUUGUCUUUCUCUUCUAGCUCUCCUAGGGGGUGGUUGAUAAUAGUAAUUAAUCUAAUAUUUUGUUCCCCAAAAGAUUCAUCUCCCCUAGAGCUAGAUGCAUGAGAACUUUUUUUUGAUUUAUUGUUUUCAUCCCUUUCUUUAGCCAAUUUCAAUUCUUUGAGUUGGGACUCAUUUUGCAAUUGUUUAUAUGAAAGUGAUUGAAAGUCUUGUGCUAAUUGUUUCAAAAGAGUUUUAAUAGACUCUCUAUCACUUUCACUAGAAUGAUAAGAAUGAGAAGUCAUGGUUAAAGUUAUGUGUUAAAAGCAAUUUACUAAAAGAAAUAUAGGUGGAGUAAUGUAGGUAGAUUCCCAAGAAAGGGAGGUGGAUCACUUAAGUACCAAGCCUUUCCUUGCCAGAUUCUAUCCUUCAAGACUUUCACAAACCUUUUUCUAAGUAAUUCACUUAGAACACAAUCAAGAAUGAAAACAAUUUUAAGAAAAACAAUGCAAAGCAAUUAAACAAAGCAAAACAAUUAAACAAAACAAAGUAAUUAGAUAAUACAAUUUGAAAAGAAUUGCUAUCUAGUAAGAUUUAAACUAGGCGUAUCCUAAGGUGAGGCUUCUAGGCACUUAGAACCAUUGAAGACACAUUCACCGUCUAUUACGCAAUACAAAGCAAUUAAACACUUAAUAGAAAAAUUUCUAUCUAGAAAGCUUGUAAACUAGACGUUUCCUAGGGCGAGGCUUCUUGGCACUUUGAACCUUUGAAGACACUCUCACCAUAUAAUACGCAAUUAGUCCACCAAUUAUUCAAGAUUUUGCAAGUUACAACUCAAAGAAAAUACAAAGCAAAUUGAAUUGACAAAAAUUUAGAAAUUUUUAUUCUAUGCAAUUCUUCUUUUCUUUUUGUCAUUCCUUCUUUGUGUAAGUGUUUAAACUCACUUGUUGCUGCUCUCUUGCUCAACCUCUCAAGGAUAUUUAACUUUAAAAAUUCAAAACAGCACCUACUAAGUGAUAAAGCUCUCACAAAAAAUGUUAGCUCCAAACUUAACAAGCACCUUUGAAUGAUUUAUCCACCAAGAAAUGAGGUUAACAAAAGUUAAAGCAACAAAAAUUCAAUUUGAAAUUGGAAAACAACAAAGGGAGUUGAUGUAUGACAACUUGAAAGAGUAAUUGAAAAAAUAUUGACAAGCAAACAAAAUAAGGUACUCAACAAAUGGAUAUCACACAAAUUGAACCUAGAGAAUGACACUAGAAUUGGAUUAACAAAAAUCAAAACAAUACUACAUAAUAUUAAGGUGUCAAAAAGCGUGACUUACUUGAUUUAUGUUGAGCAAAUUAUUUCAAAUUUGAAUUUGAAUUUUUAACCACAAAUAGAUCAAGAUAUUAACUAACUUUUGGCGUUGGAAUCACCAAUUAAUUGUGAUAAAAUUUUCAAAUAUGAUGAUGCUUCACCAUUUUUUUUUCGCGCCAAAAUUGCACACUGAUUGUAUUUGAUUUAUCAUUUUUUUUUCUAUUUUGAAUUUCGCUUCACUUUUUUUUUCACUUUUUUUCUAACACUUCAAACUAUUGAGAUCCAUAAUUUCAUAAUUUUUCUCCAACGAAUUUUAAUUUCAUAAACAAAAACAGCCAGCACAGAAUAAAAAACAGAGGAAGCCUAAUUCUGGAAUUAAAAACAGUUUUAAGAAACUUCAAAAACACAAUAGAAUUAAUGUAUAAUAAGUCGUGUGGAUCUAGCACACAAAUAUGAACUCAAAUCUUAAAAUGCACCAAAGGAUCAAACAAAAAAUUAUAAAUAUGGACUCAAAAAGAAAAUCAAUGAACCAAAAUUAUGAAGAAAAGUACUACAUAAAAGUGUUGACAAUUUAGGAGAAACAUGACUUGACAAAACAUCUAUGGAUUCAAAAAUCAAAAUGACUCAAACACAACAAUAUGAACCGAUUAAAAUUGCAAGAAAGACUCAAAUCUAGCAAAAUUAAAACAGCAACACCAAAACUCAAAGGAAUCCUACACAAAAUUGAAAUUAGAAGCUCAAGAACAAUUUGAACACAUUGCACUGAUUGGAUUUAUCCAAACAGCAUCUAAAACAGUUAAAAUGCAAAAACAACAAGACAAUCAAGGAUACAAGAUGAACAACACGAAAUUAUAAAGAACAACACAAAAUUAAAAUGAGAAGAAGAAGACACAUUUAGCUCUUGAAGAACCUAGGCUCAUGAUACCACUUGAUGGAGGUGUGCCUUCAUCCGUAGCUUUUCUUUACUGGAAUUGGCGGAAGCAUUCAUGGAAGAAGACGAGCAAGGAACUCAUGAAGAAUGGUGGACUCCUUGAAGGUGCAUGCUAAGUGUGGAGAGUGAGUGGUGAGGCUAUCUCACUUGGCAAAGAUGAAGAAUGAAGAUUAAAAUGUCUAUCCUAGAGAGGUAGGAGACAAGGAGCAAAAUUGGCACAAUUUUGGCAGCAAUUUGCUCGAGAAUAAUCUUGCUAUUUCAUGACCCAAGCACCUCCUUAUAUAGGAUUGGAGGGUCGGAAUUGGAAGAGUCAAAUACAAAUGAAAUACAAGCUAAAUCAAAUGUGAAGCAUUUGGCGCCUAAUUUGAGACUUAACACAUGGAGCAUGUGAUGGAAAGCUUUUAAGCACAUGGAACAUGUGCUUUCUUCUCCAAGGCUUAGUCAUAACCGGCCUUGGUUAAUUUAGGUGUUCAAAAAACCCUAAUUUAACCAAGGUUGGUUUUUAGGUACCAAAAUUCACCUAAAAAGAAAUUACAAGUAAAAUUUCCUAUUCUACUUUAACAAAAUUAAAUCCUACUUCUACACUAGAGUUUAUGGCAUUUUAAACAUGUAGAAGAAGGUUUCUCUGCCAUCAGUAUCAGUAUUCCAAUCUUGUUGAUCCUUCUUGGUCAUGGCUCUAGUGGUAAGUCGAGGUCUUCUCUUUGUUGGACUUGCACUUGGACUUGUCCUUAGGCCUCUUCCAUCAAAAUUAAUAAUAAAAUAAAAUUUUAAUACAAAAUAUUUAGUUAUUUAUAAUAAACAAAUUAAUGGUUAUAAAUAUAAUAAUAUUAUUUACAUUUAAUAUAAAAUUAUUUUCUAAUUAUAAUUUUUAUAUAAGAAUAUUUAAAUUAUUUAUUUCUACAUAAUAGUUUAUAACUUUUACAUAUAUUCAUAAUUUUUCGUGUAAAUUAUUUUUUGUCAAGUAACUCGUAUUUUUUUUCGAAAAUAAUUAUUCAAUGUUAUUGGAAAUAACUUACAUAAUUUUAAUUAACCUAAAUCUACAUAAAAAUACAUAAUAUUUGGUUAUUCUAUUUUUUUGAAACAAUGGUAAAUUUAUAAUCUUAUAAUUUACAUCUUUCAGAAAAUCAAAAUACCCUCACAACAAUGACAUCACUCACAAACUUCAAUAGAUUUUUUUCACAAAUUCACUCUAGCAUACUCCAAUCUAAACACAACGACUUUCUUCAUACUUUUCUCUCAAAUCUUUACACAUUCACUCUCUCAAAUCCUCACACUUCCCCUCCUCAAUUUAAACACAACUUAAAAAUUAUUGUUUUAAUUAGUUAACCAAUUGGACUAGAACUCGUGAGUAACAAACAUGGGUCUCAAUAGGCUGCAAUCACCAGGUAUUUUGUAACAGGAAAAAAGAGUGAUUUUGACUAAGAUAGAAAUUAAAGGAAAUAUUUUAUUUAUUAAUUUAUAAUAUAUAUAUAUAUAUAUAUAUAUAUAUAUAUAUAUAUAUAUAUAUAUAUAUAUAUUUAUUAUAUAUAUAUAUAUAUAUAUAUAUAUAUANNNNNNNNNNNNNNNNNNNNNNNNNNNNNNNNNNNNNNNNNNNNNNNNNNNNNNNNNNNNNNNNNNNNNNNNNNNNNNNNNNNNNNNNNNNNNNNNNNNNNNNNNNNNNNNNNNNNNNNNNNNNNNNNNNNNNNNNNNNNNNNNNNNNNNNNNNNNNNNNNNNNNNNNNNNNNNNNNNNNNNNNNNNNNNNNNNNNNNNNNNNNNNNNNNNNNNNNNNNNNNNNNNNNNNNNNNNNNNNNNNNNNNNNNNNNNNNNNNNNNNNNNNNNNNNNNNNNNNNNNNNNNNNNNNNNNNNNNNNNNNNNNNNNNNNNNNNNNNNNNNNNNNNNNNNNNNNNNNNNNNNNNNNNNNNNNNNNNNNNNNNNNNNNNNNNNNNNNNNNNNNNNNNNNNNNNNNNNNNNNNNNNNNNNNNNNNNNNNNNNNNNNNNNNNNNNNNNNNNNNNNNNNNNNNNNNNNNNNNNNNNNNNNNNNNNNNNNNNNNNNNNNNNNNNNNNNNNNAAUUUUAUUAAUAUUAUUUAAAUUAAUAACAUUAUUAAUUAUUGCAAUAAUGUUAUUAAUAUUAUUAACAUUAUUAAAUAUUAUUAAUAUUAUUAAUUAUUAAUAACAUUAUUAAUUAUUACAAUAAUUUUAUUAAUAUUACUAACAUUAUUAAAUAUUAUUAAUAUUAUUAAUUAUUAAUAACAUUAUUAAUUAUUACAAUAAUCUUAUUAAUAUUACUAACAAUAUUACAAUAAUUUUAUUUUUAAGUAAUUCAUAUGAAAUGACAAAAUAUUCUAUUGUAUUAAUAAAAUGAAAUAUAUUAUAUAAGGGUAGAAUCGAAAAGGUUUGUAAACAUCAAAAAAAGGUUAUAAUAAUGGACAAUUCACUUUAUAUAUAGGUAUAAAUUAUUAUUAUUAUUAUUAUUAUUAUUAAUAUUAUUAAAUAUUAUUAAUAUUGUUAAUAUUGUUAAUAUUAUUAAUAUUAUUAAUUGUAUUAAAUAUUAUUAAUAUUAUUAAAUAUUAUUAAUAUCAUAAAAUAUUAUUAAUAUCAUAAAAUAUUAUUAAUAUCAUUAAAUAUUAUUAAUAUCAUUAAAUAUUAUUAAUAUCGUUAAAUAUUAAUAAUAUGAUGAAAUAUUAAAAAUAAUAUUAAAUAUUACUAAUAUUUUUAAAUAUUACUAAUAUUUUUAAAUAUUACUAAUAUUUUUAAAUAUUACUAAUAUUUUUAAAUAUUACUAAUAUUUUUAAAUAUUACUAAUAUUUUUAAAUAUUACUAAUAUUUUUAAAUAUUACUAAUAUUUUUAAAUAUUACUAAUAUUUUUAAAUAUUACUAAUAUUUUUAAAUAUUACUAAUAUUUUUAAAUAUUACUAAUAUUAUUAAAUAUUACUAAUAUUAUUAAAUAUUAUUAAGUAUUACUAAUAUUAUUAAAUAUUAUUAGUAUUAUUAAUAUUAUAAAUACAUUAAUGAUAUUAAUAUUAUUUAUAUUAUUAAUAUUAUAAAUAUAUUAGUGCUAUUAAUAUUUUUUUAUUAAUAUUAUUAUUACUAAUAUUAUUAAUUUUAUUCAUGUUAUUAAUAUCAUUAAUAAGAUUAAUAUUACUAAUACUAUUAAUAUUAUUAGUAACUAGCGGGAACACAGGCACUCACGUGCCUGUAUAUCCGCAUUUUUCAUUUUUACUAUUUAUAUAUUCAUAUAAUUUUAAUAAAUAUUAAAUUAUAUGAGAAGAUGUGUAAAUUAUCUAAAUGCAUCAUUGAUAAUAGUUUUAUUAAGAUUUGAUGUUAAUUUUUUAUAUUUUCAUUUUAUUGUUUUUGAAUAUUAAAUUUUGAUUUAACUUGGGUGUAAUCUUGAACUUUGUAAGGUUAUCAAGAUUAAAAUUAAGGUUUAAAAAAAUGGACCAGCAAACAAUGUCAAAACAUAAUGCAAAUGGUUGUAUGUUGGAAGUUGUAGAAUCUAUCACCAUAUCAAUUGAAUUCACAUCUUCCAUGGCAAAGAAGUGGAAAAAAAAUAAAAUAAUAAACUAAAUACAAAUUACCAAACUUCCAACUUAUGUAAUAUCUAAUAGAUCAAAGCACCAGUAGACAUAAAAACUUUGCCCGCAAAGCUGGGCUUAGGAUUCAUACAAAAAUAUAAAAUAAUUAAGAAAGCAAUAGAAACAAAAAUGUUCAAAUCCUAUAACAAUGAGACACGUCUCUGCUUCGAACGCUUUGGGAAGUGCGAGAAGGAGGAAGCAAUGGUGGUUGUUGUUGUACAGUGGUGAUUGAAGAGGGACUAAGAUGGGUGAGAGUAGGAGAAGAACAUGGAGCGUGAAGGAAGAAGGUUCAAAAUGUGUCAAAAUUUAUGAGCAUUUUUUUUUUGGAUGUAACGGGUGAAAACUACUCCUUAUAAGGAAGUGGAAGAAAGUGGGAUAACCGCUCAACUACUCCUUAUAAGGGAGUGAAUGUAACGGGUGAAAACUACUCCUUCACAAGAAAGUGGAUGUAAAUGGUGACGGUGAAAACUACUGAAGAAAGUGGUAACCGCUCAGUAAUAAUCAAAUUGUUGUCACUGCUCACAUUUCCUAAUAUUUAUUUCUCUCUCAUAAAACAAACACUCCCUCUCAUUAUGCAAUUAAUUUUCAAAAUAAAUUAUCUCUUUCAAUUCAAACGGUUGCUCCAUUUAUUUCAAAUAUUUUAUUAAAUUUAUUUCUCUCUCAUACAACAAACACUCUCUCAUUAUGCAAUUAAUUUUCAAAAUAAAUUAUCUCUUUCAAUUCAUAACCACUCCUCCACCUCUCUCUCAAUUCAUAACCGUUCCUCCACCUCUCUUUCAAUUCAUAACUGUUCCUCCACAUCUCUUUCAAUUCAAAACCGCUUUUCCACCUCUCUUUCAAUUCAAAACCGUCCCACUACGUAUACCAAAUAUUGUAGAAAAAAUAAGAAAGGGACCAUAAUACAAUAAUAAAAUUAAAUAUUAAUAUAAGGAUAAAAUGGGAAAAAAAUUAAGAGCAGUUAAGAGGGGAAUAAGAAAUGACACAAUGACCAUAAUACAAUAAUAAAAUUAAAUAUUAAUAUAAGGAUAAAACAGGAAAAAAAAUUAAGAGCAAUUAAGAGGGGAAUCCCCUUUAUAUAUAGGUAUAGAUAAUAUUAUUCAUAUUAUUUAUAUUAUUAAUAUAAUACUAAUAAUAUUAUAUAUAUUAUUUUAUUUAUUAUUAUUAAUUUUAUAAUAUUAAUGGUUCUCGUCGGUUGAUUUUUUCACCAGUUGACUUUUUGUCGGUUGACUCUGGUGAUAAGCUUUAGCUCCGGUCUGUCUUCUCUGUGCUAGACUUUAAACUAGAGGGGGGAUGAAUGUUUUAAAGAGGGUUUUCGCAAACUUUUAAGUAUAGAAUGAAAUUACUUUGAGAAAACUUGAUUAAGAAUUCAGUUUGUCAAAAACACAAAGCAAUUUAGCACAACACUAGAAAAACAUUCGGUUGUUUCGCAGAAACAAUCGGUUGUUUAUACUAGUUCACAAAUAUAAACUGAAAUUAAAGAUUUCAAGGGUUCGAGAGAUUGCACACACAGGUUUAUACUGGUUCACUCUUAAACCAAGAGCUACAUCCAGUCUUCCCAGAAACCACUGGGGAAUCCACUAAGCAAUCAACCCUAGAUUACUUACAACACCACCAAAGAAGUGACCUUGAUCCCCUCAAGACACACACUUCCUUUGGCUCAGCACAAACACCACCAAGAAUGCUGAUCUUGACAACCUCAAGAGCACACAACACUUCUUAGCUUCACACACAGAGUUUACAGAAGGUACAAAAGGAUUACACUUGUUACAGAAAAGAUCUGAAAUCAAUACAAGAUGAAAAUCCUAUAUCACACUCUCUUGAUCAAAGCAAUCUUCAACUCUUCAAAAGAAAAACCAGUGAAAAACUUCAAAACCUUAUUGUACUGGACCAGAGCACUGGGCUCGGUGCUUAGGUGAUCGGACAUCGGCACCUGUGUGGAGCAGGUUAGCUUGGUGAUCUGGUCGAGUUAAUGGGCCAGUGGAACCCAAGAAUGCGUGUGUUAAAACCCGUAUAUAUGUAAGGCCUAAUCAGCGAGAAAGUGCAUGUGGUGUGUAUUUGGGUCUAGCACAAGUAAAUAUCCCCUAAAGACGCCUAGGCCCAAGAGCGCUAGGGUUUUCAGGGGUAAGCUGCAUGCAUGAUACGUAAAGGUUAGAGCGCCUACAGUGACAGAUGGGCCCCAUGAUGCUGGUAUAUGAGUUGGUACCCUGACAGCCAUGUUGUUAAGAUUAUGCACUCCAAAGAGGAAGAUUUUGCGCGAUUGUUACACUAAGAUUGUGUGACAUUAUAACAGAAUGCCCUCCCAUCAUACCUGCUUUCACUUGAGAUAAAGUCUCGUGAGAGAAGGGUUGUUACAAUGAAGUAACCUAAAAGUAGUCUAUAAAAGGGACUCGAGAUCCCUAGUAAAGGUACACCGUUUCUAAUGAAACUACUUGCUUACUUACUCAUUGUUUCUUAGCCCAGUACUGAAUUGAUUGUCGGAGUGCAAUCAACAGGUAGGGCCCCCUCUGUUUCAAAUGGAGCCGCAUUCCAACGUCCCCGGGAAAGAGCAAAUCCAGCAGAGGCAAACAGAGUCACAACCUACUCUCAGAGUCAACCGACUACUAGGUCAACCCACAAGAACAUUUGGCACCCACCGUGGGGCCUGAUAAAACUAGGUCCCAUCCACAGUUGUGAUCAGAGCUAUCAGGCGAUAUGAGGAAUACAAGACAAGGCACCGCUGGACAGGAAGAAGGCGACAACGUUACCAUGCAAUAACUCAUGGAAACUAUCCACACUCUUCAGUAGACAGUGGAGGCAUCCAAGGCUGAUUAGGAAAGGGUUUUGGUUGAGGUUCGAGCUAAGCAGGCACUUAGGAAAGACCAAUUCAGGGUCGAGUUGGAUGCGUCGCGGACAGACAACGAAGAUUUACGCAUGGCCAAUAGGAUUUGCGGAGAGAUUUGCAAUGCUUAGGGGAACACACGGUAGGGGAGCAAAACCCGCCUAUCCCAGUCAGGGCUUGCCCCAUGCCAUUCUCCCAAGCGAUCAUGAAUGUCGUGAUACCUACCAAUUUCAUGACCCCAAAAAUCACUUUCACAGGUACUGAAGACCUGGAGGCCCACAUCACAACUUUCCACACUCAGAUGAUGAUCUCGGGAGGAACAGACGCCAUGCAUUGCAAGUUAUUUAUGGGAACGUUCGUAGGCAGAACAUUGGAUUGGUUCAUCAGUCUCCCCGAUGGACACAUCACCUCGUUUGAUCAAUUCUCUACAUUUUUCAGGGAGCAGUUCAUUGUCAACAGUGCUCCACCCCCUGUCUCUUUCGACCUCUUUGAUGUGAAGCAAUACCAGGGAGAGCCCCUUAAGGACUUCCUGAAUCGGUUUGGGGCGCUGGUUGUAAAACUACCAAGGAUGAAGCUAUGAUGGUGCAUGCCUUCAGGCGGGGAAUUUUGUCAGGGCCCUUCAGCGACUCUUUAAUAACGUGUCAACCAAAGACGUUUAGCGAGAUUCGGCACCGAGUUGUUGCUCACAUCUGCACAGAGGAAUAGGAAACAAAAAAACGUGGAAGCGUUGGACCGACAAGACCUCGGGAGAGCGGUCGUGCUCAACCCAUAAGUGAUGGAGAUCAAGAUCAAGACCAAAUGUAGGCCAAUACUCAAGGACAAGAAGAGGAAGAGGCUCAAGUGUUAGACGCUCAAAGAGUUGGUAGCCCACCUCAAAGGCUUACAAGAAGUCAAUUCAAGGCAUUAGGAAAUAAUGGAAUGUUGUUUUCUCUUUUUGUAAUAUCUUUGUGUUAGAAGGUGCUUAGAGGGAAACAUAAGACACCUCUUUUGUAAAAGCAUCUUUAGGUCUUUAGUUUAGGAAAAAAAUAGGAAGCUUGGGGGGUGUGAGCUUAGUAGAGGGGUGUAGGCGUAAUAGGGAGGUGCCAAACUAAGAAAAGAAGUCACACCUUCCUCAUGCUCUAAGUUGGCGCCACUUUUAUGUCAUUUGGGGGGUAAUUUGAGUUUAAUUAGCUUUUCAUUUCAGCACCUCUUAGGCUAUAAAUAAAGGUGUUUGCCUUUGUAAAAUUCAGAUUGGAAAUUGGAAUUAGAGAAACUCUACUCAAUUUGAGAGAGAAUUGUGAGAACUUGUCUUCUCCUUCACCUUGUCUUAUCUUGAGUGCAUUUGGUUCUCUCAAGUGGCGGCACUAGCUCACUUAUCUUGGAGCCUUCACCAUCCAAUUGGUGUGAUCAUCAAACCAAGUCCUUCAUCUCCAUAAGUUCUUCUUUCUUUCAUCUCCUAGCUCAUUUGAAUCUAAAACAUGUCUUAGUUUACUUUUCUAGCAUUUUCAUUCGGUAUUCUAGCUUGUUUCUGAAUUUGCUUCGGUUCAUCUUCUCCUUGGCUGUUCCUAUUUGAUUCUUCUUCAUUUCUUGCAUUUUGUUCGGUUCAAUUUCAGCAUUGUAGCUUUCUAUUCGGUCCUUUUUCUUUUAUACACAAUUUAAUCGGUUCAAUUGGCAAUAGAUGGAUCUUCCAUAUGAGUUUGGUGUUUGGUGCAAGUUUUGGUGAGUUCUUAAAACAUAGAACAUUGAUCCAAUUCUAUUAAAAGUGCCUAAGCUAUCUCCAACUCAAGUUGAUUCCAUAGAAUGUCAAAGAAUCAUCUCUAUUUGGCUAGUGGAAUCAUAUCAUGUGGUAUCUAGAAUUUAGGUUUGUUCUUGUUUAAUUUUGAGUUGUGUUGCACUUUAAUUCAAGAGCUCUAUAAUUCUUGUUGUUUACCUUUCUGUUUUUAGGCUUAUUUUGAGUUUUAUUGCUGUUUUCUUAAUUGUGCCUAUCAUGUGUUUGUGUAUUUUCCUUUUUGAAUCCAUACAAGUUUUGUCAUAGUCAUGUUUUUCCAAGAAUGUCAUCACUUCUUGUAGUACUUUUAUUGAAUUUUUUGUUUCUUGCUUUGGUGUAAUACAGUUUUCUGAGUUUGAUACUUGAUCCUUUGUGCAUUUUCUGUUUUAGUUUUGAGUUCAUACUUGUAUUUUAGAUCUAUACAAGUUCCUAUACAUCAUUUCCAUUAUGUCUUUGCUAGUUCUUAAUUCUGUUUUUCAUUCCUGUUAGGAUUCCUCUGUUUUUCUGAAAACGUGCUCACUGUUUCGAUUUAUUGCAAUUGAUUUACUCACUGGAAAUUUCUGAAAUUAUGGAUUUGUGUUCUUUAAAGUGUUAUAAAAGAGUAGAAAAAAGAAGUACUUAAAAAUUCCAAGUACAAAAAAAAUGAUAAAUCAAAAACAAAAAGUAACCGCCCAAACAUGCGCCCUACGAGCCGAAAAAGCAUUAGACUAGGGCAUGAGCGAAGGGAGACAUGCCUUGUCGACACAAGUUCAGAAUAAAACUCAAGGAGCUUAUCGCUAUCCCAGACGUGGCCGACAAGCUAAAGCCACCCCCAAAGAGUGACAAGAGAUUGGGGCCAAGCAGGGGCACCUGGUGCGAGUUCCACAAGGCCUUUGGGCAUGACUUGCAAAACUAUUUGGCACUUGGAUACUAAUUGGCUAAUUUGGUGAAGAAUGGAUUCCUGAAGGAAUACUUAGAGGAAGGUCAUGAAGCCUCAACGGUGGUGACCUUAGCAGGGAUCAGGGACACAAAGUACCAUUCCAUGGCGAGGUUAACACGAUCUUUGGGGGGUUUCUCAUGAGGAGGAUGCACCACCUCCCAGCGAAAGAAGUAUGUUAUAAGGGUGAUGGCAAUAGAAGCACGGGAACCUGACCAGUCACCUGAGCCCGACCUCUACUUCACGAAGGCUGAUUUACAGGAUGUGGUCCCACAUGAUAAUGACCCAGUGGUAAUUUCAGUGGUGAUAGUAGGGAGAAGGGUACACCGAGUCCUCAUCGACCAAGGGAGCUCGACAUAUGUAAUGUUUUGGUCGACCUUCAACAAAUUGGAGUUGUCGCCCGACCAACUGAGACCUUAUGACGGCUGUUUGUACGGUUUUGCUGGAGACCAGGUAAAAGUAAGUGGGCACGUGGAGCUAAGGACGACCUUCACAGACAACACCACGUCCCGCACCGUCAAUAUCAGGUACCUUGUCAUCAACUUACAACAUCCUUUUGGGAAGACCUACCCUGAAUAGGAUAUGAGCGGUGGCCUCAACGAGGCAUAUGAAGAUGAAGUUGCCUUCCCUCGAGGAAACGAUAAUUACCAUUAAGUCUGACCAAAAGGCGGGAAAUAAAUGCUAUGUGAAUAGCUUGAAGACGAACAUAGAGGUGUGCUCGAUCACCAGCCAGCCUUAGGAGGGAGAAGGGAUCACCCGUGUAGAGAUGGGUUGGGAGAGGCGACCUAAGCCUGUAGGUGAGGUGCUGGAAAGGGAGAUCGGGAGAAAGAAGUUUAAGCUUGGCAAAUCUUUAGGCCAGGAAAUACAGGACCAGAUCGCCGAGGUAAUAACACGACAUUUGGACGCCUUUGCGUGGUGUGCCUUGGACAUGCCCGACAUCGACCCUGAUUUCCUAUGCCAUCAUCUCACGAUGGAUCCAAAGGUCAAGCCUGUUUGCUAGAGGCAGAGGAAGUUCAAUGACGAAAGAUGCCUGGUCAUGAGGCAAGAGACCUAGAAGCUGCUGAGUGCGCCACAUAACGGAGAUCCAAUACCCUGAGUGGUUAGCAAACAUGGUGUUGGUCAAGAAGACCAACGAAAAGUGGAGGAUGUGCGUCGAUUUUACGGAUUUGAACAAGGCUUGUCCAAAGUAUUCAUAUCCGUUGCCCAACAUUGACACACUAGUGGAUAACGCGUCAGGUUGCAAACUUCUCAGUUUUCUGGAUGCCUUCUCAGGAUAUAACCAAAUUCGGAUGCAUCCCCAAGACGAAUGCAAGAAAACAUUCAUGACAGAGCUCUCCAGCUAUUGUUAUACGGUGAUGCCCUUUGGGCUAAAAAAUGUCGACGCGACCUAUUAGAGGCUGAUGGACAGGGUUUUCGCCCCUAUGAUAGGGCAAAACGUGCAGGCAUAUGUGGAUGAUAUGAUCAUCACCUCCCAGGAGAAGGACCAACACAUUGCCGACUUAGAGGAGCUAUUCACCACAAUAGCCAGGUAUAAAUUGAAGUUAAAACCCGAAAAGUGCGUAUUCGGGGUAGAGGCAGGGAAUUUCUUAUGAUUCCUCCUCACCGAGUGGGGAAUAAAGGCGAACCCCGAGAAAUGUGCGACGAUCAUAGCUAUGAGAAGCCUGACCUCGGUGAAGGAGGUACAACAAUUGACGGGGCGAAUGGCCGCUCUGUCCCGAUUUGUAUCUGCAGGAGGAGAUAGAGGGCAUCCCUAUCUCCUGUGUUUGAAGAGGGACAACCGAUUUGUGUGGACAAACGAGUGUGAAGAAUCGUUCCUCAAGCUGAAGAAGUACCUGUCCAGCCCGCCAGUUCUGUGCAAGCCGCUGCCAGGUACUCCCCUCCGUCUGUACUUUGCUAUUACAGAACGAGCGAUCAUAGUCCAGGAGCAGGAUUGCAUCCAAAGGCCUAUAUAUUUUGUUAGCAAAGUGCAGCAGGGGCCCGAAGUGCGCUAUCAGGCCAUUGAGAAGGCGGCUCUAGCAGUAGUAUUUGCAGCACGAAGGCUUCGCUACUAUUUCUAGAGCUUCACGGUGAUCGUGAUGAUCGACCUUCCCAUCCGUAAGGUCUUGCAGAAACCUGACGUGGCGGGACGGAUGGUGUGCUGGGCGGUCGAGCUGUCAGAGUUUGAUUUGCAGUAUGAGACGAGAGGACCUAUCAAGGGUCAAGUUUAUGUUGACUUCUUGGUAGAACUCUCCUUGGCAACCACACACCAAGACAAUGGAGAUUUCCAAUGGGUCCUUUCUGUGGACGGGUCCUCUGAGCAGUGAGGCUGGUAUCAUCCAUGAGGGACAAAACGGGCUACUAAUCAAGCAGGCCCUACGAUUUGCUUUCAACUCUAGCAACAACCAAGCUGAAUAUGAGGCCUUGGUGGCAGGAAUGUUGCUAGCCAAAGAGAUGGCUGCCCGAAGUUUGUUAGUGAAGAGUGACUCACUACUGGUAGUCGGGAAAGUUACGGGCGAGUACUAGGCCAAGGACCCUAGAUGGCCGCGUAUCUAAAGUGUGUCAUGCUCCUGAAAGAGGCGUUCACUGCUUUUGAGUUGGGCACAUUCCCAGGGAACAAAAUGCCCGAGCUGACUUACUGGCAAAGCUCGCCAGCUUAGGCAGGGGGGUCGACAAAGGAAAAUUACCCAGGAAACCUUAAAAGUCCCCAGGACCACCACAGGCGGCGUGGAAGAGGUCCAGCAGGUAAGUGCCUUCGAGGGCGGAAGGAGAGGUCACCGGUCGUUGACCCAGGAAACAUUGAGGGUACCUAAGAUAAGUGCAUAUGACUUGUCAGUGGGAGAAUCGUCGCAUGUUUGCCUGGUCGACGAAGGUGAAACCUGGAUGACACCCUAUAGGCGUUACCUGGCGAAUGGUCUACUCCCACAGGAGCCAACGGAGGCCAAAAUCGUUAAGAAGAAUGCAUACAGAUAUACCUUGGCUGAUGGAAAGUUGUUCAAGCAUGACUUCUCUCACCGUAUCCUGUCCUGUGUGAGUGGUGAGCAGUGCACACGUAUCAUGACUGAGCUCCAUGAAGGUAUCUGUGGGAGUCACAUCGGUGGACGAGCUCUCUCAUCAAAGGCUAUUCGAGCAGGAUAUUACUGACCGACCAUAAGGGAGGAUUGCACGAGGUACACACAAUGGUGCAAACAGUGCCAACAACACGCCAACUAGCAUCAUGCGCCCCCGGAGGCGUUGCGAUCGAUCCAUAGCCCAUGACCUUUCCACACAUGGGGGAUUGACAUCUUGGGUCCAUUUCCCUUAGAAGUUCGCCAAAUGAAGUACCUGGUGGUAGCCAUCGAGUACUUCACCAAGUGGAUAGAAGCUGAGCCUAUGGCACAAAUCACAACUCACAAGGUUCAACACUUUGUAUGGAAGAACAUAGUUUUCCGUUUUGGAAUCCCAAAGCAUGUAGUGUUUGACAACCACACCCAUUUUGCAAGUCAGCAGCUAGGCAAACUAUGCACAGAGCUCGACAUCAAACAGGUGUUCGCCUCGGUAUAACACGCCUAGACGAAUGGACAGGUCGAAUAUGCUAAGUGAGUCAUGCUCAGAGGCCUAAAGAGGAGACUGGAGAAAGCCAAGGGAACUUGGGCAGAUCUGGUUCCUAGAAUUGUAUGGGCCUAGCACACCAUUCCUCAAUCCACCACCAAAGAGACGCCUUUUAGCCUAGUGUAUGGGUCAAAUGCUCUGAUCCCCGUCAAGAUCCAUGACAGUUCACCUCGAUUCCAGAACUUCGUGAUUGAGGAGAAUAACGAGGAAAUGAGGGUAAACUUAGAUCUGCUCGACAAGGUCAGAGAGGAAGCACGCAUCAAGACCGAAGCCUUGAAGAGAAGGGUGGAGUAUAAGCAGAAGUCCAAGCUAAAACCUCGGCAGUUCCGGGUCGCCGACUUGGUAAUGCGAAAGGCUCACCCCUAUCAGUUGGAGAACAAGUUGUCUCCUAAGUGGAUUGGCCCAUUCCGUGUGAUAGAGGUGCUCGGUAACGGAGCGUAUAGACUCGAGAACUUGGAAGGCGAGAUCAUUCCUCGAACAUGGAAUGAGGCUAAUCUUAAAUUUUAUUUCAGUUAAUUAUGCUAUUGUAUGCAGUACGAACGUUUAAGGCGACACUCUUUUCCCCUUAUCAGGGUUUUUUAAAUAGGUCUCCCAAUAAAAGUUAUUUGAAAACUAUGCUUGCAGUAUAUCGUGCUAACAGUGAAAUAUCCCCUUGGUAAGAUUCCAAGAGUGGGAACAGUAGAGUUCAUAGCGAACCUCCCCCUAGUAAGAUUCCAAGAGUGGGAACAAUAGGGUUCGUAAGCGAACCUCCCUUUGGUAAGAUUCCAAGAAUGGGAACAAUAGGUUUCAUAAGCGAACCUCCCCCUUGGUAAGAUUCCAAGAGUGGGAACAGUAGGGUUCAUAGCGAACCUUGUUCAAGAUGGGAAGCUUUGAUGUGCAAAAUCCUCAUGAAGGCUGAAGCUGUGUGAUGUUUAAGGUUUAGGUUUUGGUUUGGGGUUUAGAAUCUUUGUAAAGAUCAGUUUUGAAUCUCAGACAAAGCUCAUUUCAACCAGUUUUAAAGAUUAAAGUGUUUUUCCAUGCAAAGGGAAAAACAACCGAUUAAAGUUUCGAAAUAAUCGGUUGUGUUUAACUUAGCUGGCAAAUAAGGUUUUGAAACUGUUUUAUAACUGACAAGAGCAUUCAACCGGUUAAAUCGUGGUUUUAACCGAUUAAAUGUAUGUCCUUGCAACAGCUUUUUGAAAAUCUAUUUUAAUUGAUUUGGUUGUUUUGAUUUGCUUCAACGUUAGCAUUUCAAGUAUUAUAAAUAUGUUUUUGAUUCAAACGUUUAAAGAUUGAUGAAAUAAAAACUUUAGAUACUCUGAGUUGAGAUUGAUUUGAAAGAUUACAAAACUGCUUGUGAAAAGGUUUUUCAUCAAGUUUUAACAAGAUUGCUUUGUGCUUUGUUGUGGUUCAAAGAACUGAUCAUUAGGGUGCUAGUGUAUUGUGUUGUACCAGGUGUUUUCUAAUCCUGUUCAAGUUCUUGUAAUUGUUCAUAUAACAUUCUGUAUAACUGUGUGAAAUCCUGUAAAGUUAGUGUAAUUCUGGCUUGAGGUGUGUGUUGUGUGUAAGGAGGGUGAGUAGGCUUUGUGGGAUUCAAAGUCACCUCUUUGUGUGUGGUGUUUGUGUAAUCUGUGAUCGGUUGCAUAGUGAAAACUCAGUGAUUUGACUGAGGACUGGAUGUAGCUCUAUGAUAGAGUGAACCAGUAUAAUCUCUGUGUGUAAUUCUCUCUAUCCCUUCUCUCUAUAUUUGUUUGUAUUUUUCCGCUGUCAUAAACAACCGGUUAAAUCACUAUUUUAACCGAUUAAAAUUCUGCUUCUGUUUCUGUUUGGUAAUUUGAUUAGCUUUCUGAAUUGCUUUUCUGGGUUGAUUGAAAAAGUUUUAUUCUAAGCCAAGUAUUUGUAAAAAUAGUUUGAAAACAAUUCAUCCCCUCUUGUUUUAGCCAUCAAAUCUAACAAUUGGCAUCAAGAGCAAGGUUCUUGAAAGUUAUUCAAGUUUUUUGAUUUCUGGUUUUUGAAAAUCUUGAUGGCUGAUAAAUUUUUUUUGGGGAAGGUGCCUCUUUGAACAAACAACCUUUGUUCUAUGGUCAAAACUAUCCUAUUUGGUGCAUAAGAAUGAAAUUCUUUAUUCAAUCCUUAAAUAAGAAUAUUUGGAAUGUUAUUUCAAAUAAUACCUAUGUGCAUAUGCCUGAAAUUAAUGAAUCUUGUAAAUAACAUCUUGACUGUAUGGCACAACAUAUUAUUGUGUCUGCUCUAGACUCUGAUGUACUGCUCAAGAUUUUAGAAUGCACUACAGCUAAAGGAAUGUUGGACAAACUUGAGGAAUUGCACAAGAAUCCAAGGAGUGACUUGGUAGAUAAAGAAGAGUCAUCUGCUGGCUCAAUCUCUUCUAAAAAUAAAGUGGAAGUCUGCUUAAUGACCAAGGGAGAAUCAAAAUCAAGUCAAGUAAGUACAUCCUAUUCUAAUAAGUGUGAAAGUUAUUUUCAAUUUCUUGAUGCUUUCCAAGAAAUUCAUGAGGAAGCUAAGAGAUUAACUUUUUCAAAUAACCGAUUGAAAUGUGAAAACAACAAGUUGAAAAUGAAAAUCACAGUUUUGGAAAAAGACUUGAAUCAAUCAAAAACUGAUUUAGAAAAUUCUGAUUUGAUGCAUGAAAAAUCCUUUUGCAAAUGUGAUUCAAAUUUUUGCAAAACCUGUGAGUCUCUUCAAGAGAAAGUCUUAUAUCUUGUGAAAACAAUUGAUGUUAUUUCGAAAGGAAAAUCAAAUUUUGAAAAUGUGUUGGCAUCCCAAACAUGUGUUUUUGAAAAAUUUGGCUUGGGUUUUAACCCUCAAAGCAAACAAAGUGGGUGCACAAAACCUUUUUCAACCUUUACUAAAAAACAAUCGGUUAAAGCAUCGAAACAACCGGUUGUUUGUUGUUUCUAUUGCAUGAAAAAGGGACACUCUGUUAGGUUCUGCAGAAUCAGAAAGUUCUCUGUACCUAAGGGUAUUCUGAAAUGGGUUCCUAAAGAGCCUAAUGAUUCUUGGAAACAUAUUAACAUCUAUGGACCCAAAUUCACAAGGGGACCAGAUUUAGCAACUUGAUUUUGUUUCUUUUGUAGAGUUGUUUGGAGAGAAAACAACACCUAUGGUACCUAGAUAGUGGCUGUUCAAAACAUAUGACAGGUGAUGCAUCUAGGUUCAUCAGCAUUUCUCUCAAACCAGAUGGUGAUGUAAGCUACGGUGACAAUAACAAGGGAAGAAUUCUUGGCAAAGGUACAAUCAGUAAUGAAAGUAGUUUGCUUAUUCAUGAUGUGCUCUAUGUUGAAGGAUUGAAGCACAACUUGCUUAGCAUCAGUCAACUUUGUGAUAGAGGUUACCAAGUGACCUUUAGGACCAACUAAUGUGAAAUUCGCUUACCUAAUUCAAAGGAUGUUCUUCUCAUUGGUAAAAGAUCUAGCAACAUUUAUCUACUUGAUAUAUCUAGUCAUGCUUCAUUAGAUUGUCUUCUAUCAAAGCAUGAAGAAUCAUGGUUGUGGCAUAGAAGGUUUGCUCAUAUUCAUAUGAAUCAUCUAAAUAAGCUUGUGUCAAAUGAACUUGUUUAUGGCUUACCCAAACUCAAAUUUGAAAAAGAACAUGUGUGUGAAGCAUGUCAAAGGGGGAAACAAACUAGAAAAUCUUUUUCUUUGAAAAACUAUUUCAACUUCAAAACCCCUUGAACUUUUGCACACGGAUCUUUUCGGUCCUUCUAGGACUAUGAGUCUUGGAGGAAAUCUAUAUGGUCUUGUUGUUGUAGAUGACUAUUCCAGGUACACUUGGACACUCUUUCUACAUACAAAGAAGGAUGCAUAUUCAUAAUUUAAGAAGCUUGCAAGGAAACUUCAGAAGACAUGUUGCAGUAACAUAGGAGCAAUAAGAAGUGAUCAUGGAGGGGAGUUUCAAAAUGAAAAGUUCAUUAGCUUCUGCAACAAAUUGGGGAUUUCUUCAUAACUUCUCUGCACAAAGAACACCCCAACAGAAUGGUGUGGUGGAGAGGAAAAACAGGUUUCUAGAGGAGCUUGCAAGGACAAUUCUAAAUGAUUUUGGUCUACCAAAAUGCUUUUGGGCUGAUGCUGUGAGCACUGCAUGCUACUUGAUGAAUCAUGUGCUGAUUAGGCCUAUACUGAAGAAAACACCUUAUGAGUUGCUGAAUGGGAGAAAGCCAAAUGUGAGCCACCUAAAAGUCUUUGAUUGUAAGUGUUAUGUCCUUAACAAUGGCAAAGAAAUUUUAGGUAAGUUUGAUGCUAAAUCAGAUAAAGGUAUCUUUCUGGGUUACUCUCUUAAUAGCCAUGCUUAUAGAGUCUUCAAUAAAAAGCUUAUGACUGUUGAAGAAUCCAUUCAGGUUAUUUUUUAUGAGACUAACAAUUGUGACAAGCUCCAACUAAGAUCAAUACAGAGGAGGAUGAUCAAAACAUCUUUUUAAAGAAUCUUGACAGCAACACUGAAUUUCAACCGAUUGAAUCCUCGAUUCAACCGAUUGAAAAUCUGCAGCAGGAAGAUCUGCCAAAAGAUUGGAAGGUUCCUAAGGAUCUGUCCAUUGACGACAUCAUAAAUCAAAUCCACAGAGGAGUUUCAACCAGAAGGCAUGUGGCAAAGUUAUGCAAUCACUCUGCAUUUGUUUCAAAGAUUGAACCUCAAUCAGUACGUGAAGUUCUGAAGGAUGAAUUCUGGACAGCAGCUAUGCAAGAAGAGUUAAAUCAGUUUGUAAGGAAUGAAGUCUGGACUCUUGUUCCGAGAACCAAUUAAAUGAAUGUGAUAGGUACCAAGUGGGUUUUCAGAAACAAAUCUGAUGACUCGGGCAUCAUUACAAGAAACAAAGCGAGACUAGUGGCCAAAGGAUACAAUCAAGCUGAAGGCAUCGAUUAUGAUGAAACCUUCACACCUGUUGCAAGAUUGGAAGUAGUAAGAUUGUUAUUAGCUUUUGCUUGUAUGAGUGGUUUUAAAUUGUUUCAGAUGGAUGUGAAGAGUGCAUUUCUCAAUGGGAUCGUGAAUAAGGAGAUAUAUGUCUCACAACCACCUGGCUUUGAAGAUCACAAACAUCCAGAGUGUGUAUACAAGCUCAAGAAGGAAUUGUGUGGCCUCAAACAAGUUCCACGUCAAUGGUAUGAAGGGAUAAGUCUUUUUCUUUUAUCUCAUGAGUAUGAAAGAGGUAAAGUAGAUAAGACUUUGUUUAUUAAGAAGGCUGGAACUGAUAUUAUUUUGGUACAAAUAUACGUUGAUGAUAUUGUAUUUGGCUCGUCUAAUGUGAAACUUUGUGAGGACUUUGUCUAAGCUAUGCAGGGGGAGUUCGAGAUGUCAAUGAUGGGAGAACUCUCCUUCUUUCUCUUUCUACAAGUUAAGCAGUCCAAAGAAGGAAUCUUGAUAUGCCAAUCAAAGUAUUGCAAAGAAAUCCUUAAGAAGUUCGAGAUGGAAGCUUGCAAAGUAGCAGCAACUCCAAUGUCAACUAACUGCUACUUAGAAGUUGAUGAAGCUGGACGAGAGGUUAAUCAAACCAUGUAUAGGGGUUUAAUAGGUUCACUUCUUUAUCUAACUACAAGCAGACCAAACAUUAUGUUUGUUGUGUGUCUAUGUGCUAGAUUUCAGUCUUGCCCCAAGGAAUCACAUAUCAAGGCUGCAAAGAGGAUCCUGAAAUAUCUUAAAGGCACAAUAUUCAUGGGCUUAUGGUAUCCCUCUCUUUCUCCUAUACAUUUAGUAGGUUAUUCUGAUUCGGAUUUUCCAGGUUGCAAAUUAGUUAGGAAGAGUACAAGUGGAACAUGCUACUUGCUUGAUUCAAGCCUCAUUUCAUGGCAUAGUAAGAAACAAGCGUGUGUAGCCUUAUCCAUUGCUGAAGUUGAAUAUAUAGCAGCUGGUAACUGUUGUGUGCAGAUUCUAUGGAUCAAAUAACAACUUGAGGAUUUUGGAGUAAAGAUGAGUAAAGUUCCUCUUCUAUGUGACAAUACAAGUGCCAUUAACUUGACAAAGAAUCAUAUUCAACACUCGAGGACCAAACACAUUGAAAUAAGACACCAUUUCAUUCAUGAUCAUAUAGCCAAUGGAGACUGUGAGAUCAAGUUCGUUUCCACAGAAAGACAACUGGCUGAUAUCUUCACCAAGCCUUUAUCCAAGGAUAAGUUCUACUAUUUACGAAAUGAAUUGGGAAUUCUAGAUAUGCAUGCUUUAUCCUAGUUAUAUUCUAUUUUGUUUUGUCUAUUUGAUGAGACAAAUAGGGGGAGAAGAGUUUAGAAGGGUUGUUGGAAGCUGUAAUGUUCUGCUGUUUUAUUCUGGUUUGUUUACAACUUCAACCGGUUAUCUCUGUAUUAUAACCGAUUGUUCUUAUAUGCAUCUACUUAUUUUAAAAUCUGAUAUAUAGUGCAUAUCUGUUUGGACUAGUCUAUUCCGUGUUUGUUCAGUGUUUGCAGGUUUUAACAGAUUCUAAACAAAGAACAUUCCUAAAAGCAUCUCAGGGAUUUGUCUCCAUCAAAUAAAGGAGAUUGUUGAAGAUGGGAAGCUUUGAUGUGCCAAAUCCCCAUGAAGCCUGAAGCUGUGUGAUGUUUUAGGUUUAGGUUUUGGUUUGGGGCUUAGAAUCUUUGUAAAGAUCAGUUUUGAAUCUCAGACAAAGCUCAUUUCAACCAGUUUUAAAGAUUAAAGUGUUUUUCCAUGCAAAGGGAAAAACAACCGAUUAAAGUUUCGAAAUAUUCGGCUAUUUGUAACUUAGCUGGUAAAGAAGGUUUUGAAAUUGUUUUAUAACAGAUAAGAGCAUUCAACCGGUUAAAUCGUGGUUUUAACCGAUUAAAUAUAUGUCCUUGUAACAACUUUUUGAAAAUCUGUUUUAACUGAUUUGGUUGUUUAGAUUUGCUUCAACGUUAGCAUUUCAAGUAUUAUAAAUAUGUUUUUGAUUCAAACAUGUAAAGAUUGAUGAAACAUAAACUUUUGAUACUCUGAGUUGAGAUUGAUUUGAGAGAUUACAAAACUGCUUGUGAAAAGGUUUUUUUAUCAAGUUUUAGCAAGAUUGCUUUGUGCUUUGUUGUGGUUCAAAGAACUGAUCAAUAGGGUGUUGGUGUAUUGUGUUUUACCAGGUGUUUUCUAAUCUUGUUCAAGUUCUUGUAAUUGUUCACAUAACAUUCUGUAUAACUAUGUGAAAUCAUGUAAAGUAGGUGUAAUUCAGGCUUGAGGUGUGUGUUGUGUGCAAGGAGGGUGAGUAGGCUUUGUGGGAUUCAAAGUCACCUCUUUGUGUGUGGUGUUUGUGUAAUCUGUGAUUGGUUGCAUAGUGAAAACUCAGUGGUUUGACUGAGGACUGGAUGUAGCUCUGUGAUAGAGUGAACCAGUAUAAUCUCUGUGUGUAAAUCUCUCUAUCCCUUCUCUCUAUAUCUGUUUAUAUUUUUCCGCUGUCAUAAACAACCGGUUAAAUCACUAUUUUAACCGAUUAAAAUUUUGCUUUUGUUUUUGUUUGGUAAUUUGAUUAGCUUUCUGAAUUGCUUUUCUGGGUUGAUUGAAAAAGUUUUAUUCUAAGCCAAGUAUUUGUGAAAAUAGUUUGAAAACAAUUCACCCCCCCCUCUUGUUGUAGCCAUAAAAUCUAACAAACCUCCCCUUGGUAAGAUGCCAAGAGUGGGAGCGAAGUCUUUCCUUGGUAAGAUUCCAAGAGUAGCAGCGAAUAUCCCCUUGGUAAGAUUCCAAGAGUGGGAACAUUAAGUGUCAUAGCAAACCUCAGUGAAGUCUCCCCUUGGUAAGAUUCCAAGAGUGGGAGCGAAGUCUCCCCUUGCUAAGAUUCAAAGAGUGGGAGCGAGAUCUCCCUUUGGGGGAGUAGUAAGGCUCAUAGCAAUUCAGGCAAUACCUCUUGCUCAGAAAGCUCAGGUUGCCACUUGCACGAACCACAGUAAAACUUCUCUUUAGGGAGUACGUACAGAUAAAGCAAAGCAAUUCGUGCAGGAGGACCUGUUGACCAGCGAGGCUCUCUGAACUCAGGUACCCCAGAGCAUAAGUGUACCAUUGAUUAAUCAGGAGGACCAUGCUACUUACGUAUGGUCGAUCAUUGGUGUUCGAUUAGUUAUUAAACUGAUGAAAGUUGUGUCCAUUCAAGGCAUACACUAUUAUUAAACUAGCCGAAGUCAGGAAGGGAAACAUGCAUAUAUAUAUGUAUGUACACAAGAAAGGUAAGUUGUUCGUUAGAUUACAAAAGGAAGGCAAUAGCAGGGGAGUCCCCUGCGGCUAUUCCUUAUCUACUAGUUGCCCAUCUACGACAACUUUACCUAAUCCUAUCUGGGAGAGAUCCAGCUCAGGGUGCACGCAGGUGACUUAAGCCAUGGCAUCUUCAAAGCCUGUCGUGUAGGAGUAAGCGACAUCGCUCGUCAGCUCGUCCUUGGUCUUUUGUAGGAGCUCAUCCUUCUGUGCCAACUCCUCUUUCUGCCUGGCCACCUCCUCGUCCCUCCCAGCCAACUCUCCCUUCAGCUUCUCCACCUCAGUGCGGGGAUUGUUGUUUCUUGCGUACAACCCCAUGGCCUCUUGGGACUUCCUGAAAAGGAGGGCCUUGGUCUCUUGGUGCACUUUCCAAAGCUCUUCCACCUCCAACGUAAGUCAGGUGACUUGUCGUUUGAGCCCUACAACUUGGAGGGCUUCUUCUUUGGCCAGCUCCUUUGCUUUCCACAGUUUGGAGAGGAGAAAGCAAUUUGCCACUAGGGUUUCCCCCAGUUUCCUUGUGGCGUGCUCCAUCAAUGGACCCUCCUCCAGGCUCUCCAAUCUUCCCUUAAUUUUGGAGCAGAGCAUCAUUUUGUGAAGGAAGGAGACUGGGUCCCAGUGAUCUCACUCUGAAGCACUUUUUCCUCUACCUCAUGCACUGCAAUGUCGCGAGGAGGGGAAAGGCUGGGUGGAAAAUCCCGGUAGGAAGGAGCUCGGCCGCCUGAGGUGGAGUGGACAAAACCUACAGCAGCAUCUGUUCGCUUCCUCUUGAAGACGAGUCCAGAACAAGUUUCAUCGUCCUUAGAAGGGGUGACUUCAGCCACUGCCUUCAAUUUUUGACCCUUGGCAGAAGGGACUUGGGUGGUCUUCUUUUGUUUAGCCAGAGCGGCUAAGUUCUUUCUCUUUUGAGUGUCCAACAUGCUAUAUGCAUGAGAAUGAAAACAAUGAACAGUUCAGAAAACACACACAUGCAAGAUAUGGCUAGCAGGAGUAAAGGGAAGGAGGAUACCAAUGUAUUCCUUAAGGCUUGUAGGGCUAUACUCGUUCUUUAUCAAUUCGGCAUUGCUAAACACUGCCUUGAGGUUGAAGAGGAAGAGACACACCUCUCGUUCUCGCCGGGGUAGGUCUUCAAGGUAUCUGGGUUUUGGAAUUCGGGUUCCUUAGUCCAGUAUAGAGGAAACCCGUCCAGAAGGCUUGGAUCGCUAUCAUUGCAGCGGAUUUUGAAAAACUUACCCUUGAAGCCUUUGUAUGAUUGCAUGAAGAGGGUCAACAAAACUCUCCCAACAACCCCGUUAAAGCUCACCCACAUCUUCCGACCUGAUUUUUUGGCUUCGAAGAAGUAAAGGAAGACGUCCACUGAUAGCAGAUGGCCAAAGUGGUGGCACAAGAUGGAAAAUCCCCGAACAAACGCCCAUCUAUUUUAGUGUAGCUGGGUAGGGGCGGUGUUGAUCUCGGUGAGAAGGGCUCUUUCGAAACUAUGAAAGGGAAGGCGUAGAAGGAGUUUUUUGAAAACAGUAGAGUAGAUGAAGUAGAAUGGGCCAUCUAGGUCCGAUGACUCAUCACAGCAAACAGGUUCAUCUUCCAUACAAGGCAUAACCUUAACGAACUUGUCGUGCUCUUUGCCAAAAAGACAGUUCUUUUUAGGGUGCUCACUCUUCCUAUACAACAUUAUCCUCGCAUGGGGUGGUGAAUUCCGAGGUUUCCUAUAAAAGGUUACUAGAAGCCCAGGGGUAUAGGGUUUCGUAAUCCAUCUUACGAGGAAUCUAAAACAAAGAAAGAAAACAAAUGCAGUACUCAGAGGAGGAAGCGCAUGCGUUUUGAAGAAAGAAGUAAGGAAACAGAAAACAAAGGUAUUUACGGUCAUAGAUACGAGAAAUAUAAACAGUCCCAGCGCAGUUAUGAGCAGCUUAAAGGCAUUGAAAUGGCAGAAUGAAAGCAGUCAUAAGAUAAAAAACGCACCUUGAGAUGAUUGAGGAAAGGAGGCGAGGAGGCUUGUUUGGAGAGGUGAAAGCAGAGUGGUCAAAGAAAAGUGUUCAAAGAGAAGCACGAAGAUGGAAUGAAACAGUGAAGGGAGCGCAAGAAUUGAAGGGUUAACGUAUAAGGGAAGCGCAAGCGGCAACAUUUUCCAACCGUUGAUGAUGGCCACGUGUGCGCUUGUGAGAUAGUAUGGUGAGACGUCACCUCAAAACAAUGUGUGGGUCGCGUCAUUCAAAAGACACGUAAGUCGCCUUAGGCGAGAAGUUAGCCUUUUCACUGGAACAAGUUCCAGCUCGAGCCUGGGGGGCUUGUGUACUGGACCAGAGCGCCAGGCUCGGUGCUCAGGUGAUCGGACAUCGACACCUGUGUGGAACAAGUUAGCUCGGUGGUCUGGUCGAGUUAAUGGGUCACAUAAGUGGGACCUAAGAAUGCGUGUGUUGAAAUCCGUGUAUAUGUAAGGCCUAAUCAGCGAGAAAGUGCAUGUGGUGUGUAUAGUACAUUUGGGUCUACCACAAGUAAAUAUCACCUAAAGACGCCUAGGGUUUUCAGGGGUAAGCUGCAUGCAUGAUACGUAAAGGUUAGAGCGCCUACAGUGACAGAUGGGCCGCAUGAUGCUGGUACAUGAGUUGGUACCCUGGCGGCCAUGCUAUUAAGAUUAUGCACUCCAAGGAGGAAGAUUCUACGCGGUUGUUACACUAAGAUUGUGUGACAUCGUAACAGAAUGUCCUCCCAUCAGACCUACUUUCACUCAAGAUAAGGUUCUCGUGAGAGAAUGGUUGUUAUAAUGAAGUAACCUAAAAGUAGUCUAUAAAAGGGACUCGAGAUCCCUGGUAAAGGUACAUCGUUUCUAAGACUGAAACUACUUGCUUACUUACUCAUUGUUUCUUAGCCCAGUACUGACUAUAUCAUCAGAGUGUAAUCAACAUGUAAGGCCCCCUCUGUUUCAAAUGGAGCCGCGUUAUAACGUCCCAGGGAAAGAGAAAAUCCAGCAGAGGCAGACGGAGUCACAACCUGUUCCCAGAGUCAACAAGAACACUUAAAUUAGCGUAUCAAAAUAUUAUUUCAAUUAUUCUCCAACGGGAUUACUAGUAUAACUGGGCCAAACUCAUGACCCACCUUAUAGGCCCAAUAACCAAGCUGACCUACCCACAAUGUGCACCGAGCUCCGAUCACUGAGCACCGAGUACUCUGUCCAAUACAUAAGACCCCAAGCUCGAGUUGAGCUUAGCUGAGAGAAGUGGCUUUUCGAGUGCUCUGGUAGCUUACGUGGCAGUUCCUCAUUGGGUAGGUGUGGCGUGGCGCAUGAAGCGUUUCUGAGGUGACGUCUCGCCACACUCAAUCUUGAACGUACAUGUGACCCUUAUCAACGGCGGGAAAGCGUUGCCACUUGACAUUCCCAUAGACGUAUAAGCCAACGUUCAAAAACUCACUACCACUCACUGUUUCAUUUCUUUAACUCUUGCAAAACCCUCGCGCUCUUCGAACUUCCUCUGCACCCUCCUUCGAGCACCCAGAAACCUUUAUUGUCUUUGACUUACUUACUUUGCCUAGCCUGAAUAUGUGUGUUUGUAUUCUGCUUGUGUUUGUGUUUUUUUGAUAUACUUCUACAAUGGAUUACAAAGCUUUGUACCCCUAGGCACCUUCAAACCUCUUAUAGGAGACCUUCAUGUAUACCUCCCGUGAGCUUAUAAUGGCCCUUAGAAAGGGUGAAUGCAAGUUUAGCAAAGAGAAUGAUAGAUCUUUUAGGAUAAUCCCAUGUAGGGAGGAUGAACCCGUCUACUGUGAUGAGUCGUCGGAUCCUAAGGGUCCAUUCAGUUAUUUUUAUACCACCGUGUUUAAAAGGAUUCUUCUUCGUCUAUCCCCUGCCUAGCUACACCCAAACAACUAGGCAUUUGUUCGGGGCUACAUUAUCCUCUGCACACAAUUUGGCCUUUUUCCCAUCUGUUGAAGUCUUUUUGUAUUUGUUUGAGGCCAAACACCUAGGCUGUCAGCUUUGGGUAAUGAGGUGUCUGGAAGGGCACUAUUGUCACUCUUCCAACAGUCUUAUAAGGGCUUUAAAGGUAAAUUUUUGAAGAUAUGCUGCAACAAAAGGGAUCAAACCUUUCUGGAUGGGUUUUUAUUGUAUUGGACUGAAAAAUCGCGCUUCCAAGGUGCUCGGCGCCUGGAAGAUCUGCCUCAGCGCGACUAGGAGGCCUGCCAAUUCUUGUUGAGCUUAAAGGUGGUCUUCGAUACUUCCUUUCUCAUAAGCAGAGAGUUCACCCUCGGGGCUCUAAAGUCUUAUAUUGGUACUCUUCAUUCCCUACUCUUGAUAGGGCUAACUUUGCUAUUGUUGCUAACUACUUCUUGUCCUCUUUCGUAGAUAGUAUGUUGGCUAGGAUUGACAAGAAAGAGUAGGCGAACACGACCAAGAGGAUGAGGGCGGCUGCUCAAGUGCCUCAGGAUCUUAAGCUCAAAGCUCCAACCACUGUCGUUCCAGCCUCUACUGAAGAUGAUGAGGAAACGAAUUAUGGGUUGGUCUUCAAAAGUAAGAGGAAAGACAUAGCCGCCCCUAUCGAGCAUUCCCACUCAAAUGGGUGGGCUCCUUCCUACCGCGCUCCCUCAGCAAGUCCAACCCUGCCAUGCGACAUGAUGGUGGUGCAAGAGGAAGAGGGAAUGAGCUCCAGGGGAAAGGGUUUAUGGGACCUUGACUUGGACGUCCCCUCCUUCCUUGAGAAGACCCUUCUACCCAACGAGGAGAAGGAGAAACUCAUAACCCUCGAGGAAGAUCGCUUGGUGCACGAAACCAUGAGGCAACUGGGGCAAGCCCUUGCUGCAAGUUUCUUUCUCGUCACUAAGUUAAAAGAUUGGAGGGUCGGCGGGUCAAAAGGCUCAAGAGAUUGUUGAGCUCCAUAAAGGAAUGGAGAAUCUUCAAGCCAAGCUUCGGCAAUCCAAACUCCUACGCCAAGAAAUGGAGAGUCUUCAAGCAGAGCUUCAGCAAUCCAAACUGCUACAGAAGGAAACUGAAGCCCUAUUGACUGAGAAGGCUAAGGAGGCCUCGAGCUUGACUAAGGAAAAGGAGAAAGUCUUGGCAGAGGUUGAAAAGAUCAAGGAAGAACUAGCAUUAAAAGAUGAGGGCAUUGCCAAAGAGAAAGAAGCCUUCAAGAACGAUGCCCCUCAAUCCUACCUUGUAGGGUUUGACGAGGCUGUCGAGCAAGCCUCGGGCCUUCAUCCCGAAAUCAAUUUCUCCCAACUUGGCCUGGGUAAGACCGUGAUCAACAGGCAGCUUGUGGAGGAGUAGCCUAGUCUCCAUCUUUCAUGUAACUCAUAAUGCUUUGAACACUUUGAACAAUAUUGCACAUUUUCUUUUAUAAGCACUUUUUAUCCAUGCAUGUUAACAACAACUUUAUUUACUAAUCUAGCUAUUUAACUUAGUAAAUUUCGACUAGCGUAGCUAACGUAUACUUCAUUAUUUAACUUAGUGAAACAUGAUUAGCAUAAGUUUAAUAUCUAUUGAUAACAUACCAAUCAAAUACUUAUGCCAACCCUCCGAGCUAAAAUGACAACAGACUCAAUGUAUAAACCAAGUAUGAAAAAUCACGGUGCUCUUAAAGAACUAACCUUUUUAUGAACAUUUUUACCCCCUAAGCAGGAGUCAUAUACUUUGACCUUGCUAGCCAUGGCUUCACAUACUCGAAGAGCUGCACCUUUCUAAGCUUGGUCUUCUCAACCUGCGCUAAGAAUGAUUCAUCUAUCUUCUUGAAACAUCUAACCCAGGUGGUCGCUUACACACCAAGUCAACUCCAUUUUAGCCCAAACAAUCACCUUCACCACACAUUACUUAAUCACUCCACAAAGUGCUCGAAUUCAGGUGAUCGUCCUCUCGACAGACUACCCUGACUUCUUAGAUAAUUUAGUCUCAAUACUCAUCUGCAGAGCGCUCGAACUCGGGUGGUCAUACCGACGCCGAGGUAGGUCAUAUUACCUGCCUAUAGAUGACCAAUUUUUACAUAGAGCGCUUGCUCAGGUCAUCUCACCGAGAGAGGUUGAUAUGAAUCCACUAGCAAAGAAGAGAUGAUUCUUUGACAUUCUAUGGACUCAACUUGAGUUGGAGAUAGCUUAGGCACUUAUAAUAGAAUUGGAUCAAGGUUCUAUGUUUCAAGAACUCACCAAGACUUGCACCAAACACCAAACUCAUAUGGAGGAGCCAUCUAUUGUCAAUUGAACCGAACAAAUUGUGUAAAAAGGCAAAGACACCGAUUAAAACUCUUAAGAAAGCCAAUGAACCGAACAGAAUUAUGAAAAGAAGCUACUGAACUGGAUUAAAACAAAAUCAAAUGAAAACAACCGAACAAAAGUGCAAGGAAAGGAAGAUGAACCGAACAAAAGAAACUAAGACAUGUUUAAGCUUCAUAUAAAAUGGAGAUGAAAGAAAGAAGAACUUAUGGAGAUNNNNNNNNNNNNNNNNNNNNNNNNNNNNNNNNNNNNNNNNNNNNNNNNNNNNNNNNNNNNNNNNNNNNNNNNNNNNNNNNNNNNNNNNNNNNNNNNNNNNGGGUGGAUGUCCUCUUCCUUCAUUAAUAAAAGCCUCCUUUAUUUGAUUCUCAUCAUACUCCUCGAGUUGGAGAGAAUUCGUCCAUGAAUUAUGAAUCCCUGCAUAUAACAAAGUCAGUUUAUUUUUACAAUUAAAAGUGGAAGAAAAAGGUAAACAUGACUUAGCAUUUGUAAACAAUGGGAUUUCAGAAAAGGAGGUUCUAGAAAUCGACCAAGUUGGAAAAAUUUGUUUGGGAAUGAUGUUAUGUUUUGGAAAAAUACCUCUUAAAUGGUGACAACCAUUAGGAGGUAUGAACAAAUCAUCCCUAACAUUUUUUAACCAAGAUGGUGGUGAAGUAAGAACCUUUGGUAAUGAAAAAGAUAAGGAAGGAAAACACCUUGGAUGUGGAAGGAUAAGACCCAUGUCAAUUUGGCCUUCUCUGUCUUUUUCAUUUUUACUUGUGGUAGGUGGGUGAAUUAAGUCUUGUUUUACUUUGUUUAUCUUUAAGAUUUGCUUUUGUGGACAAUGAAGAGCUAUGUGCCCAAAACCUAAACAUUUAAAACAUUUGAUAUUUGAUGUUUUGGUAGGUGACUUAGGAGUAGAAAGAUUUGUAGUAGAAACAUUUUUUGGAAACAUGGUUUGUUUGGAAAAAUUGGAAGGAGAAAUAUAAGUAGAAAUUUUGUUUGCAUCCUUCCUAUAAGAGUUGUAGAAAUCAUCAUCAUGAGUAUUUUUGAAAGUUUUUUCCAAAAGAUAUGAUUCCACCUUGAUGGCUUUGCGAAACACUCUCUUUAAAGAAGAAUAUUCUUUUAAUUCUACAAAGUCUCUAAUAUCUCUUCUCAAACCACGUACAAACCAUUUAAUCUUUGACUCUUCAUUAGCAUGCAUAUUCAUUUUAGUCAAAGUUGUUUCAAAAUCUUUAAAGUAUUCAUCUACCAUCCUAUGUCCUUGAGGAAGCCUUUGGAACUUCAACAAGUGUUCCUUCCUAGAAGGAGGAACAAACCUCGCGCGCAUACGCUCUUUCAAAGCAUUCCAAGAAACCACGGGAGGUUUCUUGCGAUAUAUAAUGUCCAUUACAAUUUUAUGCCACCAUUCUUUGGCAUAGCCCAAAAAGGAUAAAGAAACUAACCUAAGUUUAUCGUCAUCUUGGACCUUAUACACAUGAAAAUAAUGGUCAACCUUAGUCUCCCAUUCUAAAUACACAUUAGGAUCACUAUCACCAUUAAAACUAGGGACUUGUCCACAAGAAAUGUUGAACACUUGGUGAUAUCUUUGGUCACGUGAUGUGAUUCCACUAGCCAUAUAGAGAAAGGUUCUUGACCUUCUUAGGAAUCACCUUGAGUUGGACAUUAUAGAGGCACUUUUCUUAGAGUUGGAUCAUUGUUCUAAGACAAGAACUCACCAAAAACUAGUACCAAAUCCCAAACUCAUUUGGAUGAACCAAUUAUAGUCAAAUUGAACCGAAUAAGGUGGAAGAAAAAGCAAUUGCACCGAACAUAUUACUUAUAGAAUGAAUUGCACCGAACAAAUGAGCUAGAAAAACAAAGGAACAAGAUGAAUGGGCUGAAAUAUAAAACUGCCGAACCAAAACUCAUAAAAAACAGCAUGAACACCAAACCAAAACUCAAGAACACAAGCUAACAAAAACAAUAGAAAGAGGAGGAAGGAAGGAGAAGAGAGUGCUCAUGAAGAUGGAAGGAUGUUGGAUGAUCUCGCCACUAGAAGUGUGGAAUGCUCCUAGAUAAGAGUGAUGCCGCCACUUGAGGACUCCAUUGAUCCAUCAAGAUAAGACUAGAGAAGAGGGCUCCAAAAGCUCUCCAAAGUUCACUCAAAAUUUGAGUAGAGUUUUCUUAGAUUAAUUCCAAUCUAAAUUUUACAAAGAGAGCACCUCUAUUUAUAGCCUAAGGUGCUGAAAAUGCAAGCUAAAACAAUUCAAAUUUCCCCCCUAAAUUCAAAUGCAAGUGGCGCCUAAACCAAGACAUGAGGAAGGUGUGAUCCCUUCUCUCACUUUGGCACCUCCUUAUUUACUCCUACACCUAUCUACUAACACACCCCCCCUAAGACUCCUAACUAAAGACUAAAAGAUGCUUUAACAAUAGAGGUUUCUAAUGUUUCCCUCUAAGCAGCUUUCUAAACAAUAUUUAUUUAAAACUUGGCCUUGCCCUUCAUGGGAUGGUCUUUGGGCUUUUGUGGGCUUUGGCCUUCUUGGGCUUGGGCUUUAUCUUUUGCAAAGAUUAACAAGAAAAGCUUUAAAUGUGAAGGCGAAUGAUCUUGUUCUUCAUUAUAAAAAGCCACCUUUAGUUGAUUCUCAUCAUCACGGUUAUGGCUCUCUUCAUAAGAAUGAUGGUGAUGCUUCCUUCUUCUAUGUUCCUCUUCACGGCCUUCUUGGGCUUGGGCUUGGGCUUUGGGCUUGGGCCUCAUCUUUAUUUUAUGUCUUCUUUUAAUUUUGAGAAGACUAGAAGGAAGAACUUCAAAUGUGAGGGUGGAUGUCCUCUUCCUUCAUUAAUAAAAGCCUCCUUUAUUUGAUUCUCAACAGAGGUCGCCUUACUUGCUUUACCUGAACCACAUUGAACUUUAGAGCGCCUGAACUCGAAGUCUUACCAAGAAAAGGUCGCCUUACUUGAAUCACGGAUAAACCACUCGUACAUAGAGCGCCUGCUUAGAUAAUUUCAUCGAGACAGGUUGUCUUACAUGGCAUUAAACAAUCAGUUAUACACACAUGGCGCCUACUCGGAUGAUCUCACCGAGGCAAGUCGUGUUAUCGUGAAUAAACAAUUCUAAUGCACCAUCUUUCAAGAACAAUUUUUCAUUGGGUGACCUCGUUAAAAAACCCUUUAAAGGGAAAAAUAGUGUCCCCUUAACCAUUACAUCGUUCAUAAAGAAAGCAUUAUCAAAAUGUAUUACUUGAAAUAAAAUUUAAGAUUCACCCCAUUCCAUGUUCGAGGUAUAGCUCCCCCCUCGAGGGUUUCAAGCCUGUAAGCUCCGUUCCCGAGCGCCUCUACUACGUGAAUGGGCCAGUCCACGUUGGAGAUAACUUAUUCUCCAGCUGAUAGGGGUGAGCCUUUCGCAUCACCAAGUCGGCAACCCGAAACUGACAAAGCUUUUACUUGGUCUUUUGCUCCACCCUUCUCUUCAAAGCCUCAAAAUUAAUGCAAGCUUGUUCAUGCACUUCAUGUAGCUGAUCCAGGUACACCUUCCUUCCUUAGUUUGACUCCUCAUUUAAUGUGGCCCUCUUGGAUCUCUACUAGUAUCAUGGUGUCUAACCCAUAUACCAAACUGAAGGGUGUCUCCUUAGUCGUUGACUGAUGAGUAGUGUUAUAAGCCCACAAAAUACGAGGAACUUCUUCCGACCAAGUUUCCUUGGCCUUCUCCAAUCUCCUCUUCAACCCUCUUAGUAAGACUUUGUUGGCAGACUCAACCUGGCCAUUCGUCUGAGGGUGUUCCAGCGAGGAAAAUAUCUGUUUGAUGUCGAGCUUCAUGCAUAGCUUGCAUAACUGUUGACUUGCGAACUGGGUUUCGUUGUUGGACACCAAGUGUCUAGGGAUCCCAAAAUGGCAUACAAUGUUCUUCCACACAAAAUGCUACACCUUGUGAGUAGUUAUUUGUGCGACUGGCUCGACCUCAAUCCAGUUUGUGAAGUGUUCAAUGGCUACCACGAGGUACUUCAGUUGAUGAAUUGCCAAAGGGAAAGGACCCAAGUUGUCUAUCCCUCAGGUAUGGAAGGGCCAUGGUAGAUGGAAUGCCACUCCUCAACUGCUGCGUGGUGCCAAUCAGCGUGCUUCUGACACUCCUUGCAUCGUUGUGCAUGCCUCAUGCAAUCCUUCUUCAUGGUCGGUCAAUAAUACCCAACUCGAACGAUCUUCAACGAGAGAGCUCUUCCUCCGACAUGACUGAUAAGUGCCUAAUUUCAGUAAUAUUUUAUAUUAAAAUAUAGGCACUUAUGAGGAUUUAUUGCUAAUUUACAUAUAAAAUAAUCCCUAAUUUAUGAAUUUAUACCUUUUUACAUUUUUAUGAGCUUUAUUUGAAUAAAAGCAUUUUAUUCCCAAAUUUGGUGUUAAUUGCAGAUUUCUAGGGAAGAUUGAAGAUUUGAAAUAAAGGAGAAUAAUUUGAGCUAAAAAGAUAAAGCCGGAAGAUCCCAGAAUGGAAAAAGAUGCAAAGAAAGAUUGAGCUUUUUUUAUGUUUUAUCAUUUAGCCCAUUAGCGCGACACAGGAAGCAACCUAACCCUAGAAAACUAGGAUAAAUAGAGGGCUAGAGGCUCAACCCUAGUGUGCCAGAUUGAGAGGAAAACACCAUAGAGUGAAUUGUAACCCAAUUGGGAGAAUGGAAGGUGCUAGAAGUAUGCGUGGCUAAUUCUACCUUUGGGAUUGGGAGUAAUCUGUUCAAACUCUUAUGUAUUGAGGUGAUAUCUUAUAUAUUAAUAUUCAGUUCUUGAUUGAUUAUUGGUAUUGUUGUUUUACUUUUAAUUUUCCGUGACAAGUUGAGAAUCUUAAAUAUGACCGGGAGGUAUUUUUAGGGUUCGGACCUAAACAACAAUACUUAACAUAUUUGAGUGCUAGGAAUAGACUUGAAAUGUUAAUUGCUAUUAAACGUCUGAGCUUCAUUCUAAGUUGUUCUUAUAAUUAUGCGAGGGAUCGAUAGUUAGGGGACAUUCUUAAGGAUUUUAUGUGCGAGGAAUCGAUAUAAAUGAUUUUUAUACGGGCAUCAAUUUCAAUCAAAGAACUUAAUAUUGACAUGCUAAUCAAAAUACUUGAGAGUGAGAGAGAUGAAACUAAUCCUUAUUUUUCCAAUUGAAACAACUAAUUCUUUGUCUGUUUUCUUAUUGAUCAGUGCCAACACAAUUAAUUCAAAACUCUUUUAAUUGUUCUGUUUUUAUAUUUAGCGAUUAUUGUACUCGAUAAUUCACGGUUCCUUGUGGGAUCGAUAUUCGUCCUUAGGGACAAUUAUUACUUCUGACAAACGUGGUGCACUUGCCUUAAAAAGUCAUCAAUGACUCUCACAAAUGCCUUCGUGGAGCUCCUUCAUGAUGCGGGUACACUGAUCCCCACUUACAUAAGUGAGGAUGGGUAGGUAUAACCAUGACGAAACAAUUUCCCAUCUACAAGGGUAUACUUCUCCUCAUUCCUCUUAAAUGCCUUUGCCUCUGUAGGUUCUGCAGGGAGCAUACCAUCAACUAGAUAGCGUUGGUAGGGAGUUAUCGAAGUCUUCAUCGUGUGGACCAGCAGGGCCUUCAGAGACUCAUCUCCCAACAAGUCAUAGGUGGUUAUUCUUGGCACUUUUAAGGUCUUCUGUGUCAACGACCGAUGCCUUCUCCCUUGUUGCGAGCUCACCCCCAAGAUCUUUACGCGGUUGUCCUCGGGUAGCCCCCCGACAGUUGUCCUAGGUGACUUCAAGGUCUCCAGAAUGACUGACCUCUGUCGGCCUCCCUUUCCCGAGCUUGCUAGUUUGGACAACAAGUCAUCUCGAGAGUUUUGUUCUCUUGGGACAUGCACUAGCUUAAACAUGGAGAAAGUUGCCUUCAGAAGUGAUCCUGCCGGUUGACUUAGCACAAGAGCGUUGCUUCGUCACCGUCUUCCCCACCAGCUUGUCACCACGUGUCCUCCAAGCCCAUACAGCAGAUAACCUCUCUGAGAACCUGAAAAACACACAGUGGCGCCUCGGCGGCCGGUGGCGCUCCGACGCUCAAGUUAGUGACAAGAACACCCAAAAAACUAAGAGAAAAAUAUGCUUUGUAGGACCGUACUGUAGGCACACAACCCUAGCAGUAUCAGCCGUAAUGAAAACGUACCUCUGCAAAUUCUGUUAAGGUUACCUUUAUAGCUAGGUUUCUUCUCUCUCCAGGCCGUUAUGCUUUUGGACGAGUAGCUCGCAUCCAGCCCUGCACGUGUCGCCAUCUGGGCUGGGAUAACAGGUAGCGCCCAGCCCUACACGUGUCGUCAUCUGAGCUAAGGCAACUUGAGCGUCAUUUCUCCAUCGCUCCCAACCCUAGACGUGUCUUCAUCUAGGUUGGAGUAACUGGUGACAUCCAACCCUACACGUGUCAUCAUCUGGAUUGGGACAACUUGAACGUGAUUCUUGUGUAGUAACCAGCCGCACAGCUAAGUCCUCAACUCAAGGAGCAACCUAGCACAUAAUGUGCUGUGAAACACCACCCGACAUGGCGAGUAUCGGAUGCAACAAAGUGCAUCAUCUCUAUGAUAUCGCUCGCCGCGAAUGGCACCCUCCUUACUGCUACGCCAUGCAUGUUCUAGCUGGGGAAACCUUGCCACCAACGAAUGUCCACUCUGGGAAUCCUGUCGCUGAUGUGCAAGGUGUUCCCCCCAACCCACUCGACCUUCAUGCCCCAUGCUGGUGCCACAAUCGUCUUACUGAACUUACACGCUUGGAAUUACCCUUCUGAGCCUUCAACAGCCUUAACUAAGUUCGCUGGGAGACCCGGCGAUGUGCUCCUUGUGGCGGCGUGUAAACCACCCGAUCUCCUAGCAUUCUCAUAUGGCGACUGCGACGUAACUCUGGUGACCGCCGGUUACGCACACUAGAGAUCGGAGAACGCCAAUUCAGCGAUCGGCGACUAUGCCCACUUCCGAGCCAUUCAUCUUUUCUAGCCUACGCGUUCCAUUGAGCACGCCCCACUCGAGCACGUGCAAGACACGUCAUCACGCCUGAUGACCUGGUCGGUACACAAGCCUCUUAGUCUCGAGCUGCGACUUGUUCGACGAGGAGACUAAAGAGGUUUAAAAUCCGGCAGCUUUCGUGACUUUGCGCGUUGGCGCUAGAACUGUUUACUGACUUGACAUUUCACCAACUCCUUCGAUCGUUCGACACAUGGACCCAUCAACGGCCAUUGUUCGCUGUCGUUUGCGCUUCCUACAACGUUCGAAACCCUUAAACCCUUCGCGCUAUUCACUGUUUCAUUAUCUUUCUUCACCUUCAAGCAUUCUGAACGCUCUCUCUGCGAACUGCGAAACCUACGCCUCCCUCAAUCUUCAACUUCUUUCAACACUCAUCUGAUCAUCAAAAGGUAACUCUUUUACUCCUUCUACUGAUACUUGUUGCAUUUUAAUCGGUUUGCAUCAUCCAUUAACUCUCGCUCGUUCGUUUUGUCUUCUUUGUCUUCGAUCGAGUCAUUCUUUUGCUAUCCUCAUUUCCUCCCUUUUCUUUCCUUUGCAGUUCCUGCGAUGGCUCAGACAAAGUCCACCGCUAACCCACCUUCCUCAUCGCGAAACCCUCCCCCCAAUACUCGUAGGGUUACCACUGGGACAAACCCUCCACCAACACGCAACCCCCCACGAGCCUCUGGUGCCCCUUCCUCACACGCUGAGAGGCCUGCCUCAUCCCGUGCCAAUCUUACCCAAGCAACUCCACCACAGGCCGGGGGAGUCUCCCUUCCUUCUCAAGACUACAAAAAGCUCUACCCUUGGGCCUCCCCGAUUCUACUGAAGGAAACUUCAUCGAUAAAUACUGAUGUGGGGGUACAUCGNNNNNNNNNNNNNNNNNNNNNNNNNNNNNNNNNNNNNNNNNNNNNNNNNNNNNNNNNNNNNNNNNNNNNNNNNNNNNNNNNNNNNNNNNNNNNNNNNNNNNNNNNNNNNNNNNNNNNNNNNNNNNNNNNNNNNNNNNNNNNNNNNNNNNNNNNNNNNNNNNNNNNNNNNNNNNNNNNNNNNNNNNNNNNNNNNNNNNNNNNACCAAGCUCAACAUCGCCCCUGCCCAGCUCCAUCCCAACAGCUGGGCAUUCGUGAGGGCGUUCCAGAUCCUUUGCGCGCACUUGGGGCUACCAUCUUCGGUGGAUGUCUUCCUCUUUUUGUUCGAGGCAAAGAAUCCUGGAGAUCGCCCCUGGGUCAGCCUGAACGGGAUUGCUGGGAGGUCAAUCCUCUCCAUCUUCCAGCAAUCCUACAAAGACUGGAAGGGGAAGUUCGUCAAGGUGUGCCAGAAUGAUCAAGACCCUUCACUGCUUGACAGCUUCCCCUUGUAUUGGGUAAACAAGGGGCACAAGGACCCCAAAGACAACUUCAGGAGACCAAGAAGUCCUGACAACAUGGGGGAGUUGGACAAAGACCUUUGUCUCUUCUGGAAGAGUGUGGCUUCUGCCAACAUCACCUUCCCCACUGCUCAGAUAAUCUCCUUUGAAUUCCUUGAGGACCAACUCGAAAUGUACAUAGGUUAGCCCCUUUCCCAACACCAAAACUCUCACUUUGCGUUAAAACUGACUUAGCAUUUUUACCAUUCUGUCUUCGGCAUUCCAUUAUUCUUUAUUGGCCUUGAUCAUUCAUCCAUGUGCUAUUCGCUUAUGUUAUCUUUGUAUGUAUAUACUUGCAUGUUCUGCUUCCACUUGAGUUACUCAUCUAUUUUUACCUUGUGCAGACGCAAUGUUGGGCAAAGGAAAACUGGCUGAAUUGAGGGCGAUCGCCCGAUCCCACAAACUUGCGGCGGGCUCUCAAACGAUCCCGAACUCUGUUGCGGAGAUCGCCGCCGCCCAGGGCCAAUCCCCACCAGUUGGUCCACCCGCUGCUGUCGCUCUUCCAGCCCCCCUACGCAAAAAACUACCUCUUAAGAAGGCCAAAAGGAAAGCCCCUAGGGUAGUAUCUGACGAAGAGGCGGACGAAAGCACCGAGGACGGGCUAAUCUGCAAAAGGUCCAGGGUGGCGGUUACCGAGCCCUCAGCAAUUGGGAGCGCCGCUCCAAACUUCAUCGAGGACCCCCCCAGCGCCUCCACACCAUUCGAGUCCGCUGGGGAUGUUCUCGUUUCAAACGCUUCAGUUGCUGAGGCCGCUCCUGAGCAACUCGCUGAUACGCAAGCCUCCUCAGAAGCUGCCGAGAAGCUGCGUGCCUUACCACCACGCCUCGAAGCUCCCCCCGCCGUCCAACCUUGUGAGGGUGGUGGUGAACACCAACCUUCGCCUCCACCAGCAAAUUCAGGCCUCCCAGCCGCUCUUCAAGAAGCUUUCAAGUCCUUCACCGUGUGCCUAAGUGCCAUGGUUGACGAUUGUCUUCCCCAAAUCAUCGGCGAAGGGCUCAAAGACUCCUUGGAGAAGUUUGAGCUCGACAACCGGAUCAACCAAGAGGUGACAAGCACCGCGAAAGCUGAAGCCGAAAAAACCAAGUGCGACAUGAUGAUGCAAGGCUUGGAGUUUUUACGAGUUGAAAACGCCCUCAAGGACGAGCUCCAGAGCGUGCGGCAAGAUAACAAAGAGCUGCGCAAGAAGCUUCAUGAAAAACUCCAAGACGCUGUCGAGCUGGAGAGCAAGAUCGUCCCUCUGAGGGAGAAAAUUUCCGCGCUGGAGGAGGCAAAGAAGACUGACGCUCAGAAGAUGGUCAACCUAGAGAAGAGGUCAAUCGAGAGAGAGACCCUUAUGGGAAAGGUUGAGCAAGAUCGUGAUAAGGCCUCCCAAGAACUCAGUGAAACUGCUGCUGAGCUAGCUCGAGUUCGCGAGGAGAACAGCGAGCUCAAGAAGAAGGCCGACAAGCUCGAGCUUGAAGUCACCCAGGUUCGUGAAGAGAACAGUGGGUUCAAGACGAAGAUCAACGAGCUUCAGCUUGAGGCUGCCCAGGUUCUAACUUCCGGCUUUGGCGUUGCUUUAGAGCAGUUUGCUUGCAAAUAUCCUGACCUCGAUCUUUCUGAGUUCUCGGUGUACAACGAAGUGGUGGACAGCAAAAUCGUGCCCCCGAUUGACUUAUCUCCUUGAAAACUCUUAUGCUUUACCUUGGUCUGUAAUAAUUUUCAUUUUGUUCAAACUGUUCGAUGCUCGUAUGCACAUAUAUACAUAUAUAUAUAAUCUUCUAAUUUAUCUGCUGCACAAUCAACUGGUUUAACUAACAUAACUGGCGAAACUUACUCGGCUGCAUGAACUCAGCAAUACUUGAACUUAACCCUUCACAUACCGCUUCUGACUCGAGUAAAUUGCUAACCUUAUGACAAACUUAGCGAGCUAUUAACUCAAAGUAAAUUUGAGCAGCAAUCAACUCUCCGGCAAUGGCACUCAAUAAAACUUGUGAACUUAGGGUAACAAACCUUAACAUAAAAUCACUUACUAUGCAGCAGGUUUUAACUCAAACUAGUAUUAAAAUACAGUUUACCUGAUCUGCUAAGUGAAGUGCCCAUUACUUCCCUCAUUGCCUGGAACUCUUCUAGUCUGGCACUCGCCAUACAACCCCUCCACUGUCUCAACCUUCACGCCAUAGGGUUCUGGCGAUGUUACCUUUCUUCUUUGUAUAACUUGAUCAUUGUUCUCUCAUCUGGGGGUAAAGGCGCCUUUCGGAUCCUUCUCUACCUCCUGAGUUUUAGAACAAUGAUCUGGAUAGCGAGGUGUUCUCUUCGAACCUACCUCAGUUAUCCUUUAUCUUCUUCCACCCUUCACACCGCACCUGAGAUCGUUCAAGACGAGAAGGAUUUUAUCUAUCUUCACACCGCCCGCAAGUGCGGAAGCUUUAUAUGGUCUUACUGGGUCAAUAUUGAUGUUUCACUUAAAGGGGAAAAAGGCGUUUUCCAUCGACCUUCCCUUCUUGCCGUUUAAGGUCACAAACACCCCUGACUUUUCAGUUUCAUCUUGCCUGAACUCACUCUGGGGUGAGAAGGACUUUCUCUGGUGCCUCAACUUGCCCAGGGUGUACAUCUCCUCCCCCCUGGAUGCACUGAGGACUUUUAAUCUUGCCUCAAUCUACUUAUGCAAAGAGGCCUUUCAAUCUGUUCUUGCCUUCACUCGCUCAAAGGCGAGGAGGACUUCUUCUAUUUCUCGCCUGCACUCGCUCAAGGGCGAGGAGGACUUCUUCUUUUGCCUUAAAAUGCACGAGGGCGUUGAGGGCUUUUUACACUACUGGUGCCUCCGAUCGCCGAAAGACGAUGAGGUCUUAAAACUUUUAACUGUUGUCACCGAUCGCCAAAAACGACGGGGACUUUAAAACCUUUACUACUGAAGCAUGCAAUAUGACUUUAAUGUUGCCCUAGAUCACGUACGAGUGAUAAGGUCCUUUUUUUUCUAAAACUUUCGAAGCAAUAAGCAUGCAAACUUGGAAGCUUUAAACUUGAAAAACUCUUCUUUAUUGGGUGGCCUCAUUAAAAACCCUCCUUAGGGAAAAAAGAGUGCCCCCUUGAAAUUGUUUUAACAGAAACUAUUCCAAUCUCGUCAUGUUCGUCUUUACUUACAAGGCUUUAACUGUAAUACAACUUGAGAUGUGUGGCGUUCCAAGUGCGAGGAAUCGCCCCUCCUUCUAACGUCUCCAAGCGGUAGGCGCCAUUCCCGAGCACCUCGGUUAUUCUGAAUGGUCCCGUCCACUUAGGCGACAACUUGUUCUGCAUCUCAUACUGAUGGGCCUUCCUCAUCACCAGAUCGCCACUUCUAAACUGCUUUGUCAUUACCUUAGAGUUGUACCUUCGCUCAAUUCUUCUCUUUACUGCUUCGGCCUUCACUCUCGCCUCCUCCCUGACCUCAUCCAGCAAAUCCAGAUUCAUUCUUCUUUCUUCGUUCGAGUCUUCCGCCACAAAGUUCUGGAAUCUCGGCGAGCUUUCCUGGAUUUCGACUGGAAUCAUCGCAUCACAUCCAUAAACCAAACUAAACGGGGUCUUGUGGGUUCCUGACUGCUCAGUGGUAUGGUAUGCCCAAACUAUGCGGGGUACCUCUUCAGCCCACGAUCCUUUAGCUUUUUCUAAUCUUCUCUUUAAACCUCUCAGCAACACCCGAUUGGCAGACUCCACUUGGCCAUUCGUCUGUGGGUGCUCGACGGAUGCAAACACCUGUUGUAUUCCCACCUCUUCGCACAACUUUUUCAAAAGGUGACUUACAAACUGAGUCCCAUUGUCUGACACCAGGCGUUUAGGCACACCAAACCGGCACACUAUGUUCUUCCAUACAAAGCUCUCGAUCUUGUGUGCGGUGAUCUGGGCCACUGGCUCCGCUUCGAUCCACUUGGUGAAGUAUUCGAUCGCCACUACCAAGUACUUCAUCUGCCUGACCGCCAGUGGGAAGGGUCCCAAAAUGUCAAUUCCCUAAGUAUGAAACAGCCAGGGGCUGUAAAUUGACUUCAGCUCUUCUGGGGGUGCCUUGUGCCAAUCGGCUUGCUGCUGGCAUUGCUUGCAACGCUGGGCGUAUUUCUUGCAAUCUUCUCUCAUCGUGGGCCAGUAAUAGUCUGCACGGAUAGUCCUUGUCGCCAGCGAUCGACCUCCAAUGUGGCUCCCGCAAAUUCCCUCAUGGAGCUCAGCCAUAAUCCUCGUGCACUUCUCUCCGUGUAUACAUACAAGAAGAGGGUGUGUAAAUCCAAACCUGUACAGCUCGCCGUCAAUAAGGGUAAACUUGCUGGAGCUCUUCUUUAUCCUUCUGGCCUCAGUUGAGUCAACUGGAAGCACACCAUCUGCUAAAUAACGUUGGUAAGGCGUUAUCCACGUGUCUGGUUCGUGGACAGCGCAAACCUGCAUCGGUCUUGCCCUUUCCGCUGGGCGCGCUCUAACCCUCGGCACCCUCAGAGUUUCCUACGUUAGGGAUCUAUGACUUCUCGCCGGUCUUCCCAUUGAUCUACAAACAUGGAGAACUUGGUGGUCUGCCACGAAUGCUCGAGGCGCUUUCAAAGUUUCUUGAAUGACAGUCCUCUGCCUGCCCCCUUGCCCGAACUGGCGAGCUUGGCUAGCAAGUCAACUCGAGCAUUCUGCUCUCUUGGCACGUGCACCACUUCAAAUGACAUGAAAGAUCUCCUUAGCUCUUGCACGUACUCCAAGUAGGCUGCCAUUUGUGGGUCCUUGGCUUGGAACUCGCCAGUUACUUGUCCGGUGACCAACAACGAAUCGCUCUUGGCCAUCAGCACCCUCGCCCCCAUUUCCUUAGCCAGCAGAAUUCCGGCGAUCAAAGCCUCAUACUCUGCUUGGUUGUUGCUUGCUUUGAAAGCAAACCUCAAUGAUUGCUCUAUCAACACUCCGUUGGGCCCUUCCAAAAUGACCCCCGCCCCGCUGCCCAGCUGGUUGGAUGACCCAUCAACUGAGAGUACCCAGCGAAAGUCACCCUCGGCGUUCUGUGCCACCUCAGAGGACAACUCGACCACGAAAUCGGCGAAAACUUGUCCUUUGAUCGAUCCCCGGGGUUCAUAUCUGAUGUCGAACUCCGAAAGAUCGACUGCCCACUUCACCAUCCUUCCAGCCACAUCGGGCUUCUUCAAAACCUUCUGGAUUGGCAGAUCGGUCAUGACCAGUACCGUGAAGCUCUGGAAGUAAUGGCGCAAUCUCCUCGCCGAGAAUACAACCGCCAAUGCUGCCUUUUCUAGGGCCUGGUACCUUACCUCCGGGCCUUGCAACACCUUGCUAACGAAAUAUAUAGGCCUUUGGAUCUGAUCCUGAUCUUGCACCAGCACUACGCUGAUCGCCCUCUCAGUUAUGGCAAAGUACAGCCCGAGCGGUGUCAUGAGUUGGGGCUUGCACAGAACUGGAGGGCUCGCCAAAUAUUCCUUGAGCUUUACGAAGGCCUCCUCACACUCCUUUGUCCAAACAAACCUGUGGUCCUCUUCAAACAUUGGAAGUAUGGGUGGCCCUUCUCUCCGCUUGCCGAUACGAAUCGGGACAGGGCGGCCAUCCGCCCUGUGAGUUGCUGCACCUCCUUCACAUUGGCGGGGCUCCUCAUUGCCAAAAUGGCGGCGCACUUCUCGGGGUUAGCCUCAAUUCCCCUCUCUGACAGGAGAAACCCCAGAAAUUUCCCUGCUUCUACACCAAAAACGCACUUUUCAGGAUUCAGUUUUAGCUUGUACCUGGCUAUCGUGAUGAACAACUCUUCCAAGUCUGCGACGUGCUUGUCUUUCUCCAGGGACGUCACGACCAUGUCGUCGAUGUAUGCUUGUACAUUCCUUCCGAGCAUGGGUGCAAGCACCUUGUCCAUCAGCCUUUGGUACGUAGCCCCUGCAUUCUUCAACCUGAAGGGCAUUAACUUGUAGCAAUAACAUGACCUUUCCGUCAUGAAGGCGGUCUUCUCUUCGUCCAUGGGGUGCAUUUUGAUUUGGUUGUACCCCGAGAAGGCAUCCAGAAAACUGAGCAGCUUGCACCCUGACGCACUGUCUACCAGGGCGUCUAUGAUUGGCAAAGGGUAAGAGUCCUUCGGGCAGGCCUUGUUCAGGUCCGUAAAGUCAACGCACAUCCGCCAUUUUCCGCUGCUCUUCUUGACCAGGACAACAUUAGCGAGCCAUUCUGGAUAUUGGAUUUCCCUGAUGUGGCCUGCUGCAAGGAGUUUCUAUGUCUCUUCUUUGAUCGCCUGCCUCUUCUCCUCAUUGAACUUUCUUCUUCUUUGGCGUAUCGGCCUGAUCUAGGGGUCCAUUGCCAAACGAUGGCACAAAAAAUCGGGAUCGAUUCCCGGCAUAUCUGAAGCAGCCCACGCAAACGCAUCCAAGUGUCUACUUAUCACCUUGGCGAUUUGGUCUUGCGUCUUGCUAUCCAGGGUCCUUCCCAACUUAAACACCUUGCCGCUGAUCUCCUUCUCGAGCCAUUCCUCUACUGGCUGAGAUUUCCUUUUGCUGGCGAUCAGCGCUCUCGCGAUACCGAUUUCUCUGGCGAUUUGUGAGCAGUUUCUUUCUCCCUUCCCGCUCUCCGGCCUCCCCUCUACACUCCCCAUCGGCACAUCACCCUCGGCGACCACCUCUAACGCCGAAUCCGAAACUCGCCGGGGUUCGCGCUCUGGCUCCACGCCAGGGGGAGGCGUUGUGGUUACGUGGCACACAGACCUCUUGUUCUUGAGGCUGUUUUCGUAACACUUCUUCGCCUCCUUCUGGUCGGAGCAAAUAGUGAUGAUCAUGCCCUCCAUAGAAGGCAGCUUGACCUUCAUAUGCCUUGUCGAAGGCACAACUCCUGUUCUGUUGAGCGUUGGCCUUCCCAACAGUAUGUUGUAAGCUGACGGGGCGUUUACAACAAGAUACCUGAUCUUCUCCGUUCGUGAGGCCAAGCCGUCAGUGAAGGUCGUCCUCAGCUCGAUAUACCCCCUCACCUCCACUUGGUCGCCGGCAAAACCGUACAAGCAGCCCCCAUAUGGUCUUAGUUGAUCAGGGGACAGUUGUAACUUCUCAAAAGUUGGCCAAAACAUCACAUCUGCUGAGCUUCCUUGGUCGACCAGCACCCGGUGGACGGUCCUUCCCGCCGUGACAAGCGAGAUCACAAUAGGUUCGUUGUCGUGAGGCACCACGUUCCUGAGGUCCCCCUUGGUGAACGUGAUGUCCACGUCGAGCGAAUGAUCCUCAAAGAUUUCCACUGACAUUUCCACCCCCCGCCGGAGAAUCCGCCAGCUAUGGUGUGGAUCUCGCCGUGAAUGGGCACCUCGUGUUGUUGCCCUCCGCUGCUUGCCGGUUGAGACCCUGACGCUUGGUCCGCUUGCUUCUCUAGCAAGUAAUCCUUCAGGAAACCACAUUUGACCAGCUCGGCGAGCUGGUGUCCUAGAGCCAAACACGAGUUGAUAGAGUGGCCAAAACUCUUGUGGAACUCGCACCAUGCGUCUGGCUUUGGCCCCAAAAUCUUCUCCGUCGUUUUCUCAGGCACUUUGAGCUUGGCAACAAUGUUUGGGAUGGCGAUCAAAUCAGCCAAACCCAUUACAAACUCAUACCUUGGGGGGCGAUUACUCUCCCUGGGGCGCCCUGGUCCCUCGCUCUUAUUUUUGUUAGGGUCGUAAGGAUGGCGCGUCCUUUGAUCCCUCUUUCCCGCCGCCGUCUCCGUUACCCUCUGCGGUUGUACCCGUGCUUGGGCGCGCGGUUUAGUUGGGGCCACGUUUCCCCUCUUCUCGGUGACCUCACUUUCGGCGGCGAUGUGAGCCACAACACGUUGUCGGAUUUCAGCAAACGUGGCGGGGUGGCUCCUGAUGAGCGACUCAAUAAAAGGCCCAGGUAACACGCCCUUUUUGAAGGCAUGCACGAACAUCUCUUCGUCCUUUCCGGGCAAACGGACUAUCCGAGCUCCGAAUCUGUUCAGGAAAUCCUUCAGGGACUCCACUUGGUACUGCCUUAUAUCAAACAAGUCGUAAGACACCAAAGGUGGCGCCUUGUUCACUAUUUACUGCUCAACAAACAUCUUGGAAAACUGUUCGAACGUGGUAAUGUGGCCAGUGGGUACACUGACGAACCAAUCCAACGUCGUUCCGCUCAAAGUGCUCAUGAACACCUUACAAUACACCGCGUCUGAGCCCCCUGAGAACAUCAUCUGAGUAAAAAACGCCGUGAGAUGGGCUUCAGGGUCCUCCACCCCAGUGAAAGACGCUUUCACUACCACAGUGUUAGCCGGGAGCACCGAGUCCAUGAUCUCUUGGGAAAAUGGCAUAGGAAAGCUGCAUGGUGGGGAUGGGGGUGCAGAUCUGUCCCCAGCCGCACGCUCCUCCCGCUCCUGAAGGGCUUUGCGCAGCUCUUCGUUGAUACUGUUGAGCUCUUUGUUCCUUGCUUGCGAGGCCACCAGCGCCUCGUGCAUCCUUUCCUGUUCAGAACGUGAUGCAGCCACGUUCUCCUGCAGCGUCCUCAUCAUGUCCAUCACUUGCGUCAUAGACACAGCAUCUUCGUCUGUUGAUGGCGCAACUGAACUGGAGCGUGUUGUCCUCAUCCUUCCUCAGCAAACUCAACAGUUCAAAGAACUCCAAACAAACGGUGAAAACUCCAGGAAUCGACUGCGAUAGCGAGCAGUCGAACAGGAAACACCAAAACACCACAAACACGAACUAUGGUUGGGAAUCACCUUUUAUACGGCCCCACGGUGGGCGUCAGAUGAUCCUGCCGGUUGACUUAGCGCAAGAGCGUUGCCUCGUCACCGUCUUCCCCACCAGCUUGUCACCACGUGUCCUCCAAGCCCACACAGCAGAUAGCCUCUCUGAGAACCUGAAAAACACACAGUGGUGCCUCUGCGGCCGGUGGCGCUCCGACGCUCAAGUCAGUGACAAGAACACCCAAAAAACUAAGAGAAAAAUAUGCUCUGUAGGACCGUACUGUAGGCACACAACCCUAGCAGUAUCAGCCGUAAUGAAAACGUAUCUCUGCAAAUUCUGUUAAGGUUACCUUUAUAGCUAGGUUUCUUCUCUCUCCAAGCCGUUAUGCUUUUGGACGCGUGGCUCGCAUCCAGCCCUGCACGUGUCGCCAUGUGGGCUGGGAUAGCAGGUAGUGCCCAGCCCUACACGUGUCGUCAUCUGAGCUAAGGCAACUUGAGCGUCAUUUCUCCAUCGCUCCCAGCCCUACACGUAUCAUCAUCUAGGUUGGAGUAACUGGUGACAUCCAACCCUACACGUGUCAUCAUCUGGAUUAGGGUAACUUGAACGUCAUUCUUGUGUAGUAACCAGCCGCACAGCUAAGUCCUCAAGUCAAGGAGCAACCUAGCACAUAAUGCGCUGUGAAACACCAUCCGACAAGGCGAGUAUCGGAUGCAACAAAGUGCAACAUCUCUAUGAUAUCGCUCGCCGCGAAUGGCACCCUCAUUACUGCUACGGCAUGCAUGUUCUAGCUGGGGAAACCUUGCCACCAACGAAUGUCCACUCUGGGAAUCUUGUCGCUGAUGUGCAAGGUGUUCCCCCCAACCCACUCAACCUUCAUGCCCCAUUCUGGUGCCACAAUCGUCUUAUUGAACUUACACGCUUGGAAUUACCCUUCUGAGCCUUCAACAGCCUUAACUAAGUUCGCUGGGAGACCCGGCGAUGUGCUCCUUGUGGCGGCGUGUAAACCACCCGAUCUCCUAGCAUUCUCAUACGGUGACUGCGACGUAACUCUGGUGAUCGACGGUUACGCACGCUAGAGAUCGGAGAACGCCAAUUCAGCGAUCGGCGACUAUGCCCACUUCCGAGCCAUUCAUCUUUUCUAGCCUACGCAUUCCAUUGAGCACGCCCCACUCGAGCACGUGCAAGACACGUCAUCACGCCUGAUGACCUGGUCGGUACAAGAAGCAUAACAUACCUGAGGUACGAGGCUAACUGCGGAUCCUUAGCCUAGUACUCACCUAUGACGUGCCCGGUAACCAACAACGAGUCACUCUUCACCAACAAACUUUGAGCACCCAACUCCUUGGCCAACAAUAUCCCUAUCAAGGCUUCGUAUUCAGCUUGGUUGUUGCUUGCUUUGAAGGCAAACCUCAGGGCUUGCUCGAUUAACAACCCGCUUGACCCUUCUAGAAUGACCCCAUCUCCAUGCCGUGUUGGUUAGAGGAUUCCUCCACUGAAAUGACUCACUGGAAGUCAUUAGGAUUUGGUUGAGGACCCUUAGAUGACAACUCUACCAUAAAAUCAGCAUACAUUUGGCCCUUGAUAGGCCCUUGGGGUUCAUACUGCAUAUCAAACUCAGACAACUCAACUACCCAACGGACCUUCCGACCUGUUAUGUCGGGCUUUUGGAGGACGUUGCGGAUGACCAAAUCAGUCAUCACUAUUACAGUAAAGCUGUGGAAGUAGUGGCAGAGCCGCUGAGUUGUGAAUACCACUGCCAAAACGACCUUCUCAAUGGCCUGAUACCGGGUUUCUGGCCCUUGCAGCACCUUGCUCACAAAGUAGACCGACUUUUGGACCCUAUCUUGCUCUUGCACAAUGGUCGAGAUGAUUGUUCGAUCUGUGAUCGUAAAAUAAAGACGAAUGGGAGUACCUGGCAACGACUUACAAAGAACAGGUGGGCUGGCCAAGUACUCCUUCAACCUGGUGAAGGUCACUUCACACUCACGAGUCCAUACAAAUCGGUUAUUCUUCUUCAAGCAUUGAAAUUAAGGAUACCCCUUAUCUCCUCUAACGAACAAGAAUCGAGACAAGGCAACUAUACGUCCAGUUAACUGCUGGACUUUCUUCAAGAUGACAGGGCUUCUCAUUCCUAUGAUUAUCGCGCACUUGUCGGGCUUCGCCUCUAUACCCUGUUCAGCGAGAAAAAACCCAAGGAACUUCCCUGCUUCCACCCCAAACACAUACUUUUCUUGGUUCAGCUUCAAGUUGUACUUUGUUAUCAUAGUGAAUAGCUCUUCUAAAUCAACAAUGUGUUGAUCCUUCUCUUCUGAUGUGGCGACCAUGUCGUCCACAUAUGCCUGCACACUUCGCCCAAUCAUUGGGGCGAGAAUUAUGUCCAUCAACCUAUGAUAAGUGACACCAAUAUUCUUGAGGCCAAUGGGCAUGACCUUAUAGCAGUAGUUAGAGAGCUCGGCCGUGAAGGAAAUCUUACUCUUACCCCUGGGGUGCAUACGAAUCUGGUUGUACCCCGAGAACGCGUCUAGGAAACUCAACACUCAACAACCUGAGGGACUGUCCACCAAGGAAUCUAUACUUGACAGUGGAUAAGAGUCCUUGGGACAGGCCUUGUUUAGGUCGGUGAAGUCGACGCACAUCAUUCACUUCCCAUUAGCCUUUUGUAUCAACACAACGUUACCCAACCACUCAGGAAUUGGAUUUCCCUUAUGUGGCCAGAAUUCAGAAGCUUCUGCGUCUUUUUUUUUAUGAUCAGAUGCCUUUCCUUAUUGAAUUCCGUCUUUCUCUGGACUACCGACCUGACCUUUUCAUCCAUAGAGAGCCUAUGGCAUAAAAAAUAUGGUUCUAUCUCGGGCAUGUCCACGGAUGACCAAACGAAAGCAUCCAUGUGCUUCGAUAUUACCUCGACUAUCUUGUCCUGCAAUUCUUGACAUAUCGACGUGCCGAGCUUGAACUUCUUGCCUCCUAUUUCCUUUUCCUGAACCUCACCAGCAGGUCCAGGUCGCCUUUCAUUGGCGAUUUCAGCUUGCAUAAUUUCUUCUAGCUCUUCCGCCUGAACAGUGAUUGAGUAUGUUCCCCUUUUACUUUUCAAGAUACUCUCAUAACACUUCCUUACCAUCUUCUGAUCAAGCUUGAUGAUGAUCACUCCUUCAUCAGGGAAGGCAACUUCUUCUUCAUGUGCCUCGUUGAGGACACUGCAUCCAACCUGUUCAAAGAGGGUCUUCCCAAAAGCAAAUUAUAAGCUGAAGAAGCAUUAACUACAAUGUACCUGACGUUAAUCAUCCAAGCUGAGGUGCCAUCUGAAAAAGUUGUCUACAACUCGACAUAUCCACGUACUCUCACCUGAUCUCCCGCAAAGCCAAACAAGCAACCAUCGUACGACUUUAGCUGGUUAGAAGACAACUGAAAAUUAUUGAAUGUCGACCAGAACAUCACAUCAGUUGAGCUUCCCUUAUCAAUGAGAACUUAUUGUACCUUUCUUCCAAUAAAAAGACAUAUAUCACCACCGAAUCAUCUUCGUGAGGGACCACAUCCUCCAAGUCAGAGCUCAUAAAGCAGAAGGCGGGCUCUAGUGGAUGGUCAGGUUUCCUCGCCUCAACUAUCAUCACUUCUCUCGCGUAUCUCUUAUGCUUGGAGGUAGUGCACUGUCCUCCCAAGAAUCCUCCCGAGAUGGUGUUCAACUCUCAAUGGAUCGGUACCUCAUGCACUUGGUCCCUAAGAGCAACCUCUUCCUUCGAGACUUCCUGGUCCCCCUCAAGGUAUUCCUUUAAGAAUCCUUCCUUCACCAAACAUGCCAAAUUCCCCCUCAAGGUAACCUAGAGCUAUACAUCGCUCAACAUCGUGCCCAAAUUCCAUGUGGAAUUCGCACCAGACCUCCCUUUGUGGACCAUGAUUCCUGUCAUACUUCUGAGGGAAUUUCUACUUUUUUACAACCCCUGAUAUGCUCAACAAUUCCUUGUAAGACAUUUGGAAUUUAGGUCGAAAUGGAAAAUCUUCUCAGGCCUUCGCCUUGGGGACGUUCUUCCUGGUUGGAUAUGGUGCGCGCCUCAAGUCCGUCCUCUUCUCGGUUGUGGUUUCGUUGACCCUUAGAGGUCGAGAUCGGCUACCCUCCUUAGGUUUUAAGUACCUGGAUAGGUGUUGCUAAGCUUCACAGACACUGCCUCCUUCGCAUUAAUGUGGGCGACAACUUGUCGUCGUAUUUCGACAAAUCUCUCUACCAGAUUUCUGAUCAAUAAGUCACUAAAUGGUCCUGCCAUGACUCCCUAUUCGAAGGCGUUGACCAUCAGGGCCUCGUCAUGGGUCUGGAGCUUCAUUGUAAACGCCCAUAACCUGUUUAAAUAGUUUUUUAGAGACUCACCAUGUCUAUGUUUCACGCUGAAGAGAUCAAAUGAAAUCGGAGGUUUUGCUUGGUUGAUAGAGAACUGUUCCCUGAACAGCUCGGAAAAUUGGUUGAAGAAGGUGAUGUGGCCAUUAGGAAGCCCACUAAACCACUGUAGGGUUGUACAUGUGAAUGUACCCUUGAACAUCUUGCAAUCGAUAGAAUCUGUUCCCCCAGAAAUAAUCAUUUGGGCAUUGAACAUCGUAAGAUGGUUUUCAGGGUUUUCUACUCCUUUGAAACGAUCUUAGGCGUAAUGUAGUGUGGUAGCACAGGCGACUCCAUGAUCUCCUGCGAGAAUGGCUUGGGACGAGCUAUCGGGGGCGCAUUAGAACCUCGCUCCCUUGUAAAGCGUUGAUCAAGUUGUUGUAGAUUCUUGCGCAAUUCAUCAUUGGCCUUGCGCAAUUCCUUACCGUUCUCUCGUGACGCAUCUAUCUCCGGCAUCAGUUGAUCUUGCCUAAGAAUUUUCUCAACUCUAGCUUUUUCAUAAGCUUUUCCUGUUCGGAUUUAGCCUCGGUCAUUAGCAUGUCCUGCUCAGCUUUGGCUUCUGCCAUCAGCCUUUCCUGCUUGAAUUUGGCCUCUUGUUGGAUCCACUCCUGCUCUCGCCUGUAUUGUUCGUUGGCUUCUUGGAGAGCUCUCACAGUGUCCAUGAGCUGUUGUAGGGUGGGGGCGUCGUUCCCUUCAUAUCUUAGCGCUCUUUGCCUAGUGUUCCUCAUAUCGCUGGAAAACUCAAACACAACUAUGGAUGGGAUCAAUUUUUAUCGGGCCCCACGGUCAAAUGUUCUUGCCGGUUGACUCUAGUGACAAGCUCUAACUCUGGUCUAUCUCCUCUGGAAUCUGUUCUACGUCUUAUUGCACUGGAACGUGGCUCCAUUGAAAUAGAAGGGACUCCAUCUGUUUACAUGGGCACCCUUACUCAUGGUGCAACGUUAUAUUUCACUAUGAAUGCAACUUAACCACUACGUGCCGUAAAUGCACACUUAGGUUAAAAUAUAUUUACGUGACUUAACCACUACGUGCACUAACACGCACCCUUAGGUUAAGAAAUAUCUUUUACUAAUAACCUUAUCUUAGAGUAUCAAAAUAUUAUUUCAAUUAUUCUCCAACGGGCUUACUAGUAUAACUGGGCUAAACUCAUGACCCACCUUAUAGGCCCAAUAGACGAGCUGACCUACCUACACCGUGCACCGAGUUCCAAUCACUGAGCACUGAGCACUUUGUACAAUACAAUUAGUAUAUAUCAAUUUAAUUAGUUAUAAUACCUGCAAAAGACAUAUGCAUAGUUAAAACAAGUAAAGAAAAUUACCCUCACUAUAAUCGGUUUUGCUAAUCUAACUGGCCAAAGAAUAAAAUUCCAAGGGGCCUGUCCCAUUGUCUGAACCUCCUUAGUAGGCAUAAGGAUUCGAGAAACAACAUCUCGAACAUCUACAACCACCACUCUUAUCAUAUCAUCUGCAAUUGUUUGCUGGUGGAUGGUUGACCCUAACAUGUACAUUUUACCUAAGGCAACCGAAUAAUGUAAUUGAAAGAAAAUAAAUAAUAUAAUUAGAUUAAACAUAUAUGCAUCAAACAAUAUCUAUAAAAUAAAAAUUAGCUAAGGCCACUAAGCACUUAGAGGGAUCAUCAAUGUACAAUUCGCAAUCUGCAAGGAUAGUAGGACCAGCCUCCCCUGAUCCUUCAGGAGCAUCACAACUCCCCUUUGUACUUAUACGAAUAGGGGAAGGCUUUGAAGUGGUAGCAAAAGGUUCAACAAACAUGGAUGCUAACUUUGCUCGCAUGUCUAAUAACAACUUUGUCUUCAAUUCAGAGUAUACUUCCUUCUUAGUUUCCUUCCUAAUCUCUUCUUUGAGGGACUCCAUCUCGAUUUGACUAAGAUGUGAUUUACUAUAAUACCGAGGUGGAGGACCAAAGAAUUUCAGAUGCCUACCUCGUCCUGCAAAUUAUGUUUAUGUGCAGAUGGGUUUAAUCCUUUUGGUCAAUAUGGAAAAAGUUACUCUUAUUAGCUAGUUAUCCUAACCCCAUACAACUUUCGCCUUCCAUAUGCAUGAAGAGGGUGUUUAUGUUUUGACAGUCUUAUUUCCAAGUCCUUUAAAUCCAAAGCAUAAGAUUGAUGUGUUCUUGCAACCACUCAUAGAUGAGUUAUGCACCUUAAGGACGAAGGGAUAUUGACUUAUGACGUGUCACUAAGGCACACUUUUAUGAUGAAAGUUGCUUUGAUGUGGAGAAUUAAUGACUUAACAGCUUAUGGCAUGUUAUCGGGUUGGUUGGCUUCUGGUAGACUUGCUUGCCCUAUAUGUAUGGAAAGAACAAAGACAUUCUAUCUUAGUCAUAGCCACAAGAUAUCCUUUUUCGACUGUCAUCGUCAGUUUUUUUCACCUGAUAAUUCAUUUUGGAAGAAUAAAAAGGCAUUCAAGAAGAAGUUUGUUGAGAGUGAUCCCCCUUCUCCACGUUUGUCUACUCUUGACAUUUGGAAUAGGGUUGCACACUUACCAAUUUGCACUGAAUUACAAGAACAAAAAAAUAUUCUUGAAUAUGGUAUUAAACAUAAUUGGAAGAAACAAAGUAUAUUCUAGAGGUUGGCAUAUUGGAAAACUCAACUUUUACGUUACAAUAUUAAUGUUAUGCACACAGAGAGUGUUCAUGAUUGUGUUUGACACUGUGAUGGAUAUCAAAGGGAAAACUAAGGACACAAACAAGGCUCGAUUGGAUAUAGCACAAAUAUGAAAUUGAAAAGAGCUAGAGUUGAAAGACAUUGGUGGUGGCAAACUUAUCAAACCAAAAGCAACAUAUGCAUUUACCAAUUCCCAAGAGUCUUUAUUUGUAAAUAGGUUAAAGAACUUAAGUUUCCAUAUGGAUAUGAUUCCAAUUUGGGUAGAUGUGUUUACCUUAAUCAAGGCAAGUUAGAGGGCAUGAAAAGUUAUGAUUGUCACGUGUUCAUGCAACGAUUGCUUUCAAUUGCAUUUGACGCAUUACCAAAAUCAAUUUGGAAAGUUCUUAUUGAACUUAGUCUUUUCUUUAGAGGAUUAAGUUCGAAAACACUAAAUGUUGAACACCUAAGAGUUAUGGAAGAAAAUAUUCUUAUGUUAUUGUGUAAAUUGAAACAAAUAUUUCCACCAAGCUUCUUUGAUUCCAUGGAAUAUCUUUCAAUUCAUCUACCUUAUAAGGAAAAAGUUGGUAGUCCUGUCCAAUAUCGUUGGAUGUAUCCAUUUGAGAGGUAUAAAAUUACUAAUAACUUUUAUAACAUUUUUUGUUUAUUUAUUUAAUAUUUUAUAUUAUGUACACCCGUAUUCUUUUUUAGGUUUUUACACUCCCUAAAAAAGAAAGUAAAAAAUAAAGCUAGGGUGGAAGACUCUAUUUCUAAAGCUUACUUAGUGGAGGAAACAUAUACAUUUGCCUCAUUUUAUUAUCCUGAUCAUGUUGAAACAAGAAGGACUAGGAUCUUUCAUAAUCUUGAAGUAGGUGAGAGUUCUUCAUGUGCUCCUCCUAUUUCAAUUUUCAAUUAUUCAGGAAGAGAAAUUGGAAAAUGCAUGACAUAUUAUCUAAACCAAAGAGAUUUUGAUGCUUCUCAAUUGUAUGUGUUAGAAUUGUAGGCCUAAAACAAGAGGGGGGUGAAUUUUUUUAAAUUUUUUUUUUUCAAACUUUGAAGGUGUGGAGAAAGUUAAUGAAGAAUCAAAAACAAAGGAAUGAAAAUGCUCAAGUUACAAAACUGCUUUGUUGAUUUCCAGAAAAUCAAUCGAUUGUUUUUGCGAUUCAACCGGUUGUUUUUAUCAGCAGUUUAUAAAAACAACUAAAAGCAUAUAUAAUUGAGAUUAGGGAAAGAGAGAAUCACACAAACAAAUUUGUACUGGUUCACUUUUACACCAAGAGCUACAUCUAGUCCCUAGAAAUCACUAGGUAUUCCACUAUGUAAUCAACCACAGAUUACAACCCCACACACACACCAAAGAAGUGAUCUUGAACCCCUAAAAAACACAAACUUCCUUUAGCAAUACAACACACGACAAAUCAGAACACCCUCGACUCUGUGCAACACAAUUCUUUACAUAAAUACAAAGAUUAAAAGAAGAGGAAAGAGUACACCUGGAUCAAUUCACAAAAUAAAAAAAUGACUUAACACAUAAUAGUCUGAUGAGCAUAUAUUUAUUCACACUUAAUAGCUUUAAUCAUAGAUUAUUGGACUAUAAUAAUAAAUAAAUCUGUUGUUUUAAUUAAUAUUUGUACCGCCCUGGUAGUCGGAAGUGAUGACGUGGCAUCAAACUAUUGUAUAGGCGUGUUGAUGGGAUGCCUGGCUGGCAGAAGGGAAGGAAGUCGAGGGGCUCGUGUAGUCGCCAGUUAUUAAGUUGGCGUGCUCCGAUCUCCAGCACACCAGAACCGGCGGUCACCGGGUUGAAGAUGAAGUCGCCAGAUGUAAACCCAGGCGACCAAGUGAUUAGAGAUCGUCGAAACAAGGACAUCGCCGAAGAUGAAGGCAGAUAGACAUUUCCCAGCUGGCCAGAGGAUGAGGUCGGGGGACAGCUUACUUGAGCAUAUACGAUGAAACAGGCGGUGCAGAUCAUGAAGGCGGCCGGCGAGACCACAGGGAAGGUGUGUACGAAGGCACCCAAACUCGCCAUCCAGAAGAGAUCACGCUCCAAGGCAACUAUGCACUGAGUAGUAUCAUGCAUAAGUAACUUAGCCAAAAGAGAGUCAGAAGUAGCGCCCAAGUCAAGGAUGCUCCAGAUGAUGGCACGUGUACAGCUGGAUGCGAGCCACGUGUCCAGAUGUGUAACUGCCAGGAGAGAGAAAGUGUCCAGGUAUAUAAGAGUUUCCCAACGAACUUCUGAGGUACGCACGUUCAGAUUGUCUUCUUUACGCUUGCGAGUCUUGAGUAUACUGAGAGAGAACAUUGCACGGUUCCUUGAGAGUUCUUGAGUGUUACUCUUAGUAAUUGGUGGUUCAGUCGCUGACUUGGGCGUCGGAACGUGAUCGGCCGCAGCAACGCCGUUCUGUUCUUUUGCAGGUUCUUGAGGUGAAUCACGGUGAAAGACGGAGGCUGACACGGCGCACACGUCAAUCCAAGUUUGACGAGGCAAAGCUCCAGCGUUCUGGUCAACAGGCAGGAUCAUCAGGCGCCCACCGUGGGGCCGUGUAAACCUGUUCCCAUCCACAGCGCGAGUUCUUGGAGGUUUCUGCAGUUUCCGUGUGGUUGUGUGCUGGUGCAACCAUUGUCCGCUGUUCAUCUAGGUUUUGUUCGGUGAUUUCGCGUUUUCCACCGUUCGUUUGGAUUUUUGUUCGGUGAGGUGAACGUUCUUGCUGCUUACGCGAGUUUUGAUCGGUGAGAUCUGAGUUCUUUGGCUCGUUUGGUUUUUCGUGGGAGAAGCGUCAGUUUCUGGUGGAGUUGCAGGUUUUUGUGGAGGUUCGCUGUGUUCUUGAGGUUUCUUUCGGAGUUUCGCGAAAUUCUGACCGAUUGAUCGCUGAAUUGAUCGUCGCUGAAGAAGGUGUUGUUCAUUACUCUCUGUGAUUUGUCAAGUUUUCAUGAGAAAAAUGAGAAGCAACCGUUCAAGUCCAGUUGCGCCCGUUGCCGCUGAAGGCGCCAUGACUAUGGCGCAUAUGGUGGAAAUCAUGCAUUUGCUGCAGGCGAAUGUGGAAGCCUCGCAUAUAGAGCAGGCAAGAAUGCACGAGGACCUGGUCGCCUCUCGGGCCAGGAAUGACGAGCUUAGCAGAGUGACUGAAGAACUGCGUCAAGCUCUUCAAGAACAGCGAGGGCGUCCAGUCGCUGAAGAGGUCGCGCCGUCAACGCUGCCUCGCGUUUUACCUAUGCCUUUUGCUCAGGCGAUUACCGACACGCCUAUCCCUGCGAGUGUGGUACCUGUGAAGGCUAUUUUCACCGGCGUGGAGGAUCCUGAAGCUCAUCUCACCACGUUCCAUACGCAGAUGAUGUUGUCAGGAGGAUCAGACGUCGUGUACUGCAAGAUGUUUGUGAGCACACUCCAGGGAACGGUGCUGGAAUGGUUUGUGAGCCUGCCUACAGGUCACAUAACAAACUUCCAACAGUUUUCAAAGAUCUUUGUCGAGCAGUACAUCGUGAACAAGGCACCGCCCAGGGUGUCUUAUGACUUGUUCGACAUAAGGCAGUAUCAGGGAGAGUCCCUCGGGGACUACAUGAAUCGUUUUGGGGCGCAGAUGGUCCGAUCGCCGGCCAAAGAUGAAGAAAUGCUGGUCUACGCAUUUAAGAAGGGCGUGCUGCCGGGACCAUUCUGCGAAGCAUUGAUCAGGGCUCACCCUGCCACGUUUGCUGAGGUCAGGCGACUUGCGGUGGCCCACAUCGCCGAUGAGAGUGAGGUCCCCGAGAAGAGAGGAAGCGUGGCUCCCGCUAGGCCACGCGCCCAGACCAGGAUCCAGCCACAGAGGGUGUUGGAGACAGCGCCGGCUAGGAGGGAUCAGAGGACUCGCCAUCCUUACGAUCCAAGGAAGAACAAGGACAGGGGCCAAGGGCGCCCUCAACCAGCACGCCGGGAGUACAAUCGCCCGCCUAAGCACAAGUUUGUCAUGGGAUUGGCGGACCUGAUCGCCAUUCCCAAUAUAUCAGCUAGGUUGAAAGCGCCCGAGAAGGUGGGUGACAAGGUGCUGGGACCAAAGCCAGACGCCUGGUGUGAGUUCCACCAGGGCUUUGGCCACACCGUGGAUUCGUGCUUGGCUUUAGGAUACCAGCUCGACGAUUUGGUCAAGAGCGGGUUCCUAAACGACUACUUGCUGGACAGAAGGACGGGGGGCGCGUCGAGCUCCCAACCAGCAGGUGGUGAGGCUCAGCAGCACGGGAUGCCUACACACGGGGAAAUCCACACCAUUGCAGGGGGUUUCUCGGGUGGUGGAUGCACCGCGUCACAAAGGAAGAAGUACGCGAGGUCUGUGAUGACGGUGGAUAUGUUUGAAGACCACUCGCCGGAUGUGGACAUUACGUUCACAAAGCAAGAUCUUCGGGACGUUGUGCCUCAUGACAACGACCCCAUAGUCAUCUCGCUGAUCACAGCAGGAAGGAAGGUCCACAGGGUUCUGGUGGACCAAGGAAGCUCGACAGACGUGAUGUUCUGGCCGACUUUCACGCAGUUGGAGCUACCCCUUGACCAGCUGAGGCCCUAUGGAGGGUGUUUGUAUGGUUUCGCUGGUGACCAGGUGGAGGUCAGGGGGUACAUUGAGUUGAGGACUACGUUUACAGAUGAGGCGGGUUCGAGAACAGAGAAAAUCAAGUACCUUGUCGUAAAUGCUCCCUCAGCAUACAAUAUUCUGUUGGGAAGACCCACGCUCAACAGAAUAGGCGCUAUACCGUCGACCCGGCACAUGAAGGUGAAGCUGCCGUCUAUGGAGGGGGUGGUGAUCACCAUCAAGUCCGACCAGAAAGAAGCGAAGAAGUGCUAUGAGAAUAGCCUGAAGAACAAGAGGUCGGUGAGUUACGUGACAACCACCCCGCCUCCUGGUGUGAAGCCCAGACCGACGGUAAUGGAAGAGACCGCCGGAAGUGACGUGGUGAUGGCGGAUGCUGAGCUGGGGGAGGGGAACGCCGAUCUAGAGGAAGAAGAGGCAAGGAAUCGCCCUGAGGAAGCGAGGGAGCUGGGAAUCGCCAGGGCGGUGAUCGCCAGAGAAACCAGGCCAAAACCCGUCGAGCAGUGGCUCGAAAGAGAGAUUGGAGGAAAGAUCUUCAAGCUGGGAAGAUCUCUGGAGGUUGAGCUCUAGGACCAGAUCGCCAAGGUGAUAGAACGGCAUCUGGAUGCGUUUGCAUGGUCCGCUUCGGACAUGCCCGGGAUCGAUCCCGAUUUCCUGUGCCAUCAUUUGGCGAUGGACAAUCAGGUCAGACCGGUACGCCAGAGGAGAAGGAAGUUCAACGAGGAGAGGAGGCAGGCGAUUAGAGACGAAACACAAAAACUCCUCGCUGCAGGCCAUAUCAGGGAGGUGCAGUACCCUGAUUGGUUGGCCAAUGNNNNNNNNNNNNNNNNNNNNNNNNNNNNNNNNNNNNNNNNNNNNNNNNNNNNNNNNNNNNNNNNNNNNNNNNNNNNNNNNNNNNNNNNNNNNNNNNNNNNNNNNNNNNNNNNNNNNNNNNNNNNNNNNNNNNNNNNNNNNNNNNNNNNNNNNNNNNNNNNNNNNNNNNNNNNNNNNNNNNNNNNNNNNNNNNNNNNNNNNNNNNNNNNNNNNNNNNNNNNNNNNNNNNNNNNNNNNNNNNNNNNNNNNNNNNUUGGGUUGAAGAACGCGGGGGCCACGUACCAAAGGUUGAUGGAUCGAGUACUUGCACCAAUGCUGGGAAGGAAUGUGCAAGCGUACGUGGAUGACAUGGUCGUGACCUCGCCAGAGAAAAGCAAGCACGUUGCGGACUUGGAGGAGUUGUUCACUACGAUCGCCAAGUUUAGGUUGAAGCUGAAUCCUGAGAAGUGCAUCUUUGGCGUGGAGGCUGGAAAGUUCUUGGGUUUCCUCUUAACCGAAAGAGGAAUAGAAGCCAACCCUGACAAGUGUGCCGCCAUCUUGGCGAUGAGGAGCCCGACCACCGUGAAGGAAGUGCAGCAGCUUACAGGUCGGAUGGCCGCCCUGUCUCGCUUCGUGUUGGCUAGCGGAGAGAAGGGCCAUCCAUAUUUCCAGUGCUUAAGGCGCAAUAACAAAUUUGCCUGGACGAAGGAGUGUGAGGAAGCCUUCGUCAAGCUUAAGGAAUAUCUGGUGAGCCCGCCGGUUUUGUGCAAACCGCUGGUGGGAACCCCUCUCAGGUUGUAUUUUGCUGUAACUGAGAGGGCGGUGAGUGCGGUGCUCGCCCAGGACCAAGAUCAGGCUCAAAAGCCUAUUUAUUUUGUUAGUAAGGUGCUGCAGGGCCCCGAAACGAGGUAUCAGGCCCUGGAGAAGGCUGCACUGGCAGUAGUCUUUUCGGCGAGGAGGUUACGCCACUAUUUCCAUAGCUUCAUGAUACUGGUGAUGACCGACCUGCCCAUCCAGAAGUUCUUGAAGAAGCCCGAUGUUGCGGGGAGGAUGGUGAAGUGGGCAGUGGAGCUGUCGGAGUUUGAUAUUAAGUAUGAGCCCCGAGUUAUGAGGUAAUUUGAGUUAUGAUUACAUUUAAAAUGUUCUUCUAUUAUUCUACAAUGUUUUUUUUGUAAUUGAUUUUUCAUGCAGAAAUAGUAUAGGCAGGGAUCUGGAACAAGACCAACUUAUUAGAUUUAUUUUUUGAAAAAAAAGGCUCCCGUAUCUUUAAAAAUGCUAUGAAUAAAGUUAGGCAUGGUCAAGAUAAGGGGGCCUGAAUUCCACCACUUGUUCGAGCAACCUUGGAUGAAAAUUAGAAUUUUACAAAUUUAGAAAACAAGAGUGUCAUUGUCAAGGCAAAUCGGGGUGUUGAGAAGGGAGCCUUAGCCUAUUGUGGUGGUUCCAUAUCUACAACAUCUCACUUUGAGAAAAUGGUAAUAUUUUUAUGUUUUCUAUAUUUAAUUUAAAUACAAUAUAUUAGACUUGGUUAUUAAAUUAUAUCUUUUCAUUAAAUUUAUAUAUACUAAGGAGCUUGAACGACAACCAACUAUUUGGAAGACUGUAGAGAAAACAAAGAAAUUGAAAACUGGUCAAUGAGUCAAUGACAAGACCUGCGACCUUGCGGUAUGUUUAAACUUUAAGUUAUAAUUUACUUUUUACUAUAUGUUUUCUUCACAAUAAUCAAUUUGACUUUAUUUUCAGGAGAAAUAUAAGCAACGCCGAGGAAAAACCAAACAACAAUAGAUGCUUGAAGGCUCAUCUUCGCAAAACUCUCAUGAUGCCUCCAUUGAUGACAAUGAAAUAUACAUUGAUGUUGUUGGAGGUGGAAAUAAAAAAAGGGAAUGUCUAUGGUCUUGGUGUAUUGAGCAAAAGGUUUAAUAGUUCUACAAGUGCUCACUCUGCUACAAGCCAGACUCCUGAUAAGUGUCUGAUUUCAAUAAUAUUUCAUAUUAAAAUAUAGGAACUUAUGAGGAUUUAUUGCUAAUUACAUAUAAAAUAAUCCCUAAUUUAUGAAUUUAUACAUUUUUACAUUUUUUAUGAUCAUUAUUUGAAUAAGAGCAUUUUAUUCCCAAAUUUGGUGUCAAUUGCAGAUGUUUAGGUAUGAUUGAAGAUUUGGAGUAAAGGAGAAUAAUUCGAGCUAAAGGGAGAAAGCUGGAAGGUCCCAGAAUAGAAAAAGAUGGAGAAAAAAAGACUAUUUCGCAAUAGUAGUAUCUCGCUCAAGUGAGAUAUUCUCGCUUGAGCGAGAAUGCGUCAAAAAGAUUGGGCCUUUUUUUAUGUUUUAUCACUUAGCCCAUUAGCGCCACACAGGAAGCGACCUAACCUUAGAAAAUUAGGUUAAAUAAGGGGCUAGAGGCUCAACCCUAGUGUGCCAGAUUGAGAGGAAAACAACAUAGAGUGAAUUGUAACCCAAUUGGGAGAAUGGAAGGUGCUAGAAGUAUGCGUGUCUAAUUCUACCCUUUGAGAUUUAAAGUAAUAUGUUCAAACUCUUAUGUAUUGAGGUGAUAUCUUAUAUAUUAAUAUUCAGUUCUUGAUUGAUUAUUGGUAUUGUUUUUUACUUUUAACUUUUAAUGACAAAUUGAGAAUCUUAAAUCUGACCAGGGGGUAUUUUUAGGGUUCAGACCUGAACAACAAUACUUAACAUAUUUGAGUGUUAGGGAUAGACUUGAAAUGUUAAUGCCAUUAACCUCUGAAUGUGAUUCUAAGUUGUUUUUAUAAAUAUGCGAGGGAUCGAUAUUUAGGAAACAUUCUUAAGGAUUUUAUAUGCGAGGGAUCGAUAUAAAUUAAAUUUUCUACGCGUUUCAAUUUCAAUCAAAGAACUCAAUAUUAUCAUGCUAAUUAAAAUACAUGAGAAUAGGAGAGAUGAAACCUAAUCCCUAUUUUUCUAAUUAAAGCAACUAAUUCUUUGUUUGUUUUCUUAUAGAUCAGUGCCAACACAAUCACUUCAAACUCUUUUUAUUGUUCUGUUGUUAUAUUUAACGAAUAUUGUACUCGAUAAUUCAUUGUUCCUUGUGGGAUCAAUAUCCUUAGGGACAAUUAUUACUUCUGACAAACACGGUGCACUUGCCGUAAAAAGUCAUUAAAUUUUUGGCACGUUGCCGGAACAAGUUUGAUUUGUUGAACGUUGUCGGGAACAAGUUUGAUUUGUUGAGUAUAAUUUUUUAAAUAUUGUGAAUAUUUUAAUUGUUUCAAUUUUUUUUUAAUUUUGUGUUUAUAUUUGUUACUAUUUUUAUUUUGUUUUAAAAAAAAUUAUUUUUAUUUUAUUUUAAUUUUGCAGAGCUGUUAUUAUUUUAAUUCCUAUUUUGUUUUUAUUUGUUUCUAUUUAUUUUGAUUUUCUUUUGAUUUUAUAAUAUUUUAUUAUUCUUUAUUUUAGUUAUUUUUUUUAGGUUUAGUUACGUAGUUUUAUUUAGGUUUACAUAAUUUUUAUUUAUUUGUUUUAAUUAUUUAUCAUUACUAAUUUUAGUUUUUAUUUUUACGUAAACUUAGUUUACGUAGUAUCUUUAAAGUUAGUUAGUUGUUUACUAUUAUAAUUUUCUGCUUUAGAUUUAUUUUGUUUUUAUUUUACUCCUAGUAUUUAUUUGUUAUUUUAAGUAUGUUAUUUUGAAGUUUUUAUUUAUUUUUGUUUUAUAUUUUUUAUUUAUUCAUUUUUUUUUGUUUUAUUGUUUUGUUUUAUUUUGGUCUUUAGUUUUUAGUUUACGUAAGUUGUUAUCUAUAUAUUUUUUUUUUCUGAAUAUUUUCGUUAUUUUUUUUCUCUUAUCGUCAUUUUAGUAUUUUUUUUGUUUAUUCUUUUAAUUUUUGUUUAUUUUAUUUUAAAAAUUUGUUUUUAUUUUAUCUUCAAUUUUUUUGAAUUUUUUUUUAUUUGUUUUUAAUUUUUUUAAAAAAGAAAAUAAAUAUACUCUGUUUUUUUCUCACUAAUAUUUUUCAAGAAGAUAGCAACAUGACAGAAAAGGAGGCAACAGGACACUUGGAGAUUAUAUCAUGUACUGGAGGCCAAUGCAUUAUUCUAGCAUUGCAAUACUUGCUAUCACCAAAGCCUUGGAAAUAAAUCUCGAUUUUCUCACUCUCAUUAGUACCCAUCAAUUCAUAGUAAUGGAACAUGAGGAUCCAUAUUCACAUUUGGACACAUUUUAUGAAUUGGUGAGAACAAUGAGUUUUUAAUCAACUGAUAUUGAAAUUGUUUAAAUGCGUUUGUUUCCUUUUUCAUUGGCAAGAAAGGCUAAGGAUUGACUCAGAUCACUUCCAAAUCAUAGCCUCACUAGAUGGAAGGAUGUAAAUGAAAAAUUUAUGCAAAUAUUUUUUACAAUCUUUCGCUACAUCAAAGCAAAGUAUGAAAUUUAUGUGUUCAGACAAGGAGCAGAUGAAUCAUUCUGUGAGACAUGAGAAAGAUUUAAAAUGAUGCCUAGAAAAUGCCCAAAUCACGAGUUUGAAGAUAUUGCUCAACUGAGCAUAUUUCUCAUUGGUCUUAGAUCAGACACAAAGAUGUUGUAACUGGCGGCACAAUGAUGGCUCUUGAUGUAGAACAAGUGACAAGGAUUAUUGUUGCACUGGCGUCAACUGAUUAUCAAGCCCAACAUGAUAAACAAAAUACUCAUAAGGAAGGGUUGUUAGAAUAUGCACUCUUGGUUCAAAAUAAAAUUCUAACACAACAGAAAUGGCUAAAUUGCCCAACAAUUAUAUGUUGUUCAUUCAUCUCAAAGCCAGAGUUAAUCAACCAGGUUUGAUUUUUGUGGAGGUGGUCAUCCUAAUGGUCAUUGUUCUUAUCAGAACAAUUCACCUGAAGCUGAGGGGCCAUCCAUGCUUGAAAGAAUGAGUAAAGUUGAAGAUGCC
rnacentral:lncRNA from 1 species